rnacentral:lncRNA from 1 species
AAAAGGAAAAAAAAGUAGUCGUUGUAGUUUUCAUGGAUGACCGAGAGUUAAAUUAUUAAAAUGGUACGGAACGUUUUGUGAUAAAUAUGAAAAUUAAUUUGAUAGAAAUAAAAGGGAAUUGAUGACAUAAAUAAUGUAAUUUGUGACAUGAAAUAAUUUAUAUAAUUAGAGCCUAGAUCUCUAUGAUGUUCAUUAUAUUCCAUUAAAAUAGAUUAAAAAAGAAAGAAAAAAGAGAUGAGAGAUGCUGAAAUAAUAAUUAGGUUAUAAUGAUGAUACUAAGAUUUUGGGGGAAAAAAAGCAUGCAAAUCGAAAGUAGCUUUUUGGGACUGUUUUUGGGCAAUAUUAGAGGCUUCUCCAAUAUUUAUUAUUGCAGAUGCAUCAGCUAGGCAAAUGUGGUUUUCUUUUCUUCUUCUCCAAAUACAAUGCAUUUUUUUUUCUAUUGAGUUAAAUGUAUAUAUAACUAAUAAUGCCCCCACACACACAAAGAAGUUGGGAAAAAGCACCUAAUUAUUUGAACCAAGGAAGAUUUGUGUUAAAAAGAUUUUGUCCACUUUAAAAGGUUCCUGUAAGAAAUUCAACUUCUCAUCAAUGCCAAAUAUAUAUGUAUUUUAAUUUUUUAAAUAUUUUUUUUUUCUAAUAACUAUACUUUCACAUCUGCUUCUAGGUUUUCUAGUUCAUUUUUCUCUUUAUUGUCUGCCAAAUACAAAGUUCCCACAGACUAAACACCUAUAAACUUGGCUUUUAUGUCUACCCCUGUGGACUCUAACCCCUACAACCUUUUAAUCUCGACAUCCAACCCUAUAUAUGAUAUGAUGGAAAAGAGAGGACAAAUUAAACCUAAUUUCAUAAAAGAUAGAUUUUGCCAUGAAUUUUUCUUAUACAUCUUUCACUAUUUGAGUUGCCUUCCAAUCCAAAAAACUUGACCCUAAUAAAUUAUAAUCUAAAAUUGUAGCUAUAUAUGUGUGUGUGUAGAUUCAAUAAAUAGCAUUAUCGAAAUGGUAUAGCAUAUAGGUAAAAUGAGUAGUUAAUUACUAUGUUGGAAACAAAUGAAAUAGCCUAGAAAAAUUGAAAAGAAAAGAAUGAUGUGAUGGAAAGAAAAGUGAUAAUAUAUAAAAGUUCUGUAAGAGCAUAUAUAAAUGUUAGAAAGAAAGAGAUUAGCUAGAGUUUUAGAUGCCACAAUGUCUCACAGCAUAAAAAUUAGGAGGGUUGGGGGAGGGCCAUGGAUCAGAACAAACUACAUCUCAACAACUCAAAGGCAUUAAUAGUGCGAUUUGAACUGACUACAUUCAACACAAACACAUUUAAUAUAUAUUUUUUGACAAAAUAUUUAUAAAAAAAAGUACUUAUUGAAGUUGAGAAAAAAGAAAAGAAAAGAGAUCUCUGUCUCUUAAAAAUCACUUUAAAAGGGAAAAAAACUAUAUAGUAUUAUGCCAGAAGCAUCUUUUAAGUCUUACUCCUUAGUAAGUGGUAUGUGACUCCUCUUUAGUGUCCCUUCCCUUCAAUUAUAUACAUCUUUAUUUUCAAACGCAAGUGUUUUUCUUUUUCCUAAAUAGUAAUUAAAUUACCCUAUAUAUUUCCAUAUCGUUUAUUUGUACUAAUUAUUGCUCUUUAAGUCGUUUAAUAUACACAUAUAUUCAAUAAUAAAUAAAAUUAAAGAUUGUUUUUUUAAAAAGAAAAAAAGAACAAAUUUAUAGAAGAUUUGAAAGGUAGAAUUGGUAUUACACAGCUGGGUGGAUGGAUGUUUGAUGUGUAAGAGAAUAUUAUCCAUGAUUGGGGAAUUUCCUUCGCAUCUCUAAAAAAAGGAUUGCCAAAUUACUUGAAUCCAAGAAUUAGCCAAUAUUCUCUCUUUCUUUUUUUAACUUCCAUUUUGAAUACCUAUUUUAAAGAUGUAUAUAUGUAUAUACACUGUUAAAUUAUGAUGGAAAAAUAAUAUUUGGAUGUAAUUUCCUUCUGUCAACGUGUAACUUUUGUAUAACUUUUUUUUGAUAAAGAAGUUAGGGAGCAUACGAGUUCUAAUAAUUGCUUAUAAUUAGGAUAUGUAUGUGUGAUAAAUAGUUAAAUGAAAAAUGACAGUAUUUCCAUUUGAAACUGUGUAGAGAAAACCAUUAUCAAUCUUCACAAAUUAAAAGAUAUAUAACGUAUAUUUGAGUGGUUUUUAUUUUUAUUUUUUAUUUAAAUUUUGUCCAUGUCUCCAUAACUUUUAUCAAAUAAUGUUUGCUCUCUUUAUCAUUCCAACUUCUUUUGCUGGUUUUUUGGGGUCAAGAUGCUCUUUUUGUUGGUUGUUAUAGAUGCCAAACAAUAAUUCUUAAAAAAAUAAUACAAGAUAAAAAGGAAUUUUAAAUAUAAUUGAUUAGAUACAUAAAGAAUAUAUAUGAAAUACAUGCACAUGUAAUAUAUAUAUAUUUUAUAUAGUGUAUGAAUUGUGAUGAUGGGUAGAGGAAGAAGCACAUGAUCACUAAGACAAAAGCUUGUUCAUCAACAGUUCCAUCCAACUUGAUUUGACCUUCACUUUACCCAAAGUUGCAUUACUUCUCUUGUUUAAGUACUUAUUUCUUUUUUUCAACAAUAUAUAUCUUAUUUUUUCAAUUCAAUUCAUAAAUAAAGAACCUUGUUCCAUACCUACCCAUGGACUUUGACACUUUUUUCUUUUUCAAAAAUAAAAAAAAAGCAUCCCUUUCUUUAUUUAUUUUUUCUAUUCAUUCAGAAUAUUGAAACUUAAACUUGAAUAAACUUGGUACAUGAUCUUACACUAAAAUUAUAAUGCCUACUGGUAGUAAUGUCAAGUUUUGUUGGGAUGUAAACUCAAUUAGUUAAAGAUAAAAUGUUAAAAUCCCAACCUCCUCAAUUAAAAAUUGAUUCCAUGAAUAAUAUAAGAAAAUUUAAAAUUAAAUUUCACUUGUGACUCAUAAACUAAGCCCCGGAAGUUUAUAGUGAAAGAAAAUGGUUUUUCUUUCCCUUUUGUUUGUUGUAAUAUAAAUAUUAUAUGCUUUGGCUUAUAAUUAAAGUUGCAUAUUUUUCAAGCUUUAAAUGUUAUUUCUCCAAUGAGUAUAUAUUAUUUAGAAGAAAGAAGUGUGUUGGAAAAUAUUUAUAAUCUCAAAGUAGACCUAAUGUACAUAUAUAUUGAUUGAAAAUAAUGCUCUUAAUUAUGAGAUAGAAUAUUAAUUACUUCAAACUCAACAUUUGUAAAAGAAAACAUUGAAAUUAAAAUAAAAGAUAAUUCAAAAGCUAAAGAAUACAAUGGGCUUGAAAUUAAUUUUAAAAAAGAUGGGAGUCUAAAAAUUUUAAUUUUGAUUUACAUAAUUGAAAAGCAUACAAAUCCCAACUUAAAAGAUUGGAUAUAUAUAUUUUAGUAUCAAGAUCUCCUUUUAAGAAUACUUUAUUAUGGAUUUCAAUUCUACUUUUCUAACCAUUAAUUAUUCAAAACUCUAAAUUAAAGCACCCUCUCAUAAACUAAUUAUGCUAAGGCAAGUUCAUUGAUCAUGGACCACCUCUAUGUUUAAGUGAAUGUUUACAUUAAAUGUCAUAGUCUACAUUUUAUUUAAAAGGAAACAUCAAUAUGAAAACAUAGUUGAACUAAUAAUUCAGAGAUAAACUUGAUGGAGAGAUUAGAGUUUUGAUUCAUUUUAAUGUAUAGUACAAAAAAAAAAAAACAAAUAUAUUGUUAACUAAAUGAUCUAAAUUAAGAGAGGGUGUUCAAAUAAAUGGAUAAAAUUAAUGAGAGGAGAAGGGUUUGGUUGGCUAAAUAUUUUAUAAAUCUACAAUUUAUAUACCCAAUUUCACAGAGGAGAAGUGCAAUUUUAUUUUGAAAAGAAACAAACAUUUUUACUUUGGUUUCUCUCUUUAUGUCGUAAUCUAACUUUUUCUUUUUGAAACUUAAAAGGAAAAUAAGAAACGGGAGAUCAAUUUGAAAAUCAAGUUUAUAAUACCCUAUUUUAUUUUAGAAUUAAAAUACAAAUUUCUUGAUAUGAAAAUGAAUGAAAUAAUAAGAGUACUCUCUAAACCUUUCUUGUUUUAAUUAAAAUAAGGGUUUAGUGAAGAAAACAUGUACGUACAUAAUGGUAUUCUAACAAUUAUCUAAUAUAAUUACCCUCUUGUAUAUAUUGGUAUGUUUUAAAAAAAGUGAGAUAUAGGAGAUAUAUAUAUAAUGGUAUAUAUAAUUUUGAAGUGAAACAAAAUGUGAUAUGUCAAAAAUAUUUCCUAAUGGAUUAUUGUGCUUUAAAUAUUAAAAUGACGUUUUUAUGUGUUUUUUUUUUUUUGUAAAGCCCUUUUAUGUUAAAUCUUAUGUUGUCUUUUUGGAGUGUUUUUAAGAAAAGGGUUAUGGGUCUUUUUUAAAAAGUUGUUUGUAUUUAAUUAGUAAUGACAAAAUGAAUUAAUGGAAAAGGCCGCCAUCAAAGGAAACCAGAAAUUACGAUAAUACUCGUAAAUAUAUAAUAUCUAAAUAUAAUAUAAUGGAGAGAAAACUAAAUAAAUUAUUUACACACAAAUGGAUAUGGGAGUGAUUGCAUGACAGUUCGAACUCAGGUAAAGAGUCUGAGGGUUUAGGAAUAUAUAUAUAUAUAUAUAUGGAGUUUGUUUUUGUCUUUCAAUUUGAUGUGUGAAACAGAGUGGAACCAAUACACAGUUCAUGAUGUCUUUGCUUACUCAACAACACAAUAUACAACCAUUAGUGUUAUUCCAAUACAUGCCAAAUGCAUCAGUUCCCUUCAAACUAAACCCAACAAAAUAAAGUAUACUUUACAUAUAUAUAUAUAUACCGAAAGUACACUAAAAGGAAUGCAAAAUAGAAGACCCAAAUAUAUUAGUGCCAAACAUAUAAAAAAUAGAAGAUGAUGGUCAUGAUCUUGUGUGUUUUCUUUUUCUUCGUGGGAAUGAAAUGUCAGACAACAUCAUUAAAUUUUGUGUGUUAGUUAGAUAUUUAAAAAUGAGAAUGUGUAGAUAUCACAAAAUAUAUGUGUAUCCAAAGUACCAAAAAAUUCAAGAAAAUCAAUGAUCAAACUUGAAAAUAAAAUAAAAUAAAAGAGUUGACAAGAAAGGAACACAAUGGAAGCAAAGAAAAAGCAGUUGAGGAACAGAAAGGGGCCAAAUGGAAGGGCAUAAGGAGGCAGCAUGCAUGGAGGAGAGGCAAAUAAGUCCAUAAAGUCUUUAAUAUGUUAGAGACCAAAAAUAAUAUAUAGUUUGAUAUGGUUGGUCACUAACUAAGCAUGAUUGAAAUGUAACAAAAAAGAAAUAUUAAACCUCCAUAUCUCUCCAAUUUCUACGUGAGAAUAAUGCCAAUAAAUAUACAAACCAAACACCAACACCAACGUACAAUUCACAAUUUACAGUUAAAUUAUACAAAAUAAACCAAAUAAAAAAAGAGAGAAAAUCCUCCAUUAAAGGAAGAGUACAAGACAUAAAUUGACUCUAGAUAAUUGAAGUUUAGGGUAUAUAGAAAAUGAACUAUUUAAUUCUGAGUAAUGGGAGGGGAGUUGUGUGCUAACCUUGGAGGUAACAACAAAUGGGAUGGUUCCAUGACAGCUGUGUGGCACCACAAUACACAAUACACAAUACACAAUACACAGUACCCAGUACACAAUACACACACCAAGUUUUCUUUAAUUUCUAAAUGAUUUUUUUAGGUUAUUUGAGAGAGCCAAUGGGAAAUGAAAGAGGGACAAACCAAUAUUGCUUGUUGCAUUUGUGUCAAAUCAAACCCCAACACAACACACAUAUCAUUCAUCAUCAUGCUCAUGGGGGUGAUUCAAUUCAAUUCAAGCCUUGCAUUUUUGUUUUCUAUUAAGCCCUCUCUUACUUGUGGGCUUUUCUUUUUCUUUUUCUUUUUGGAUGAGGGAUUCUAGGGUUUUCCAAACAAACAAAUAUAAUAUAUAUACAUAUAUAUUUAUAUAUAUGCCAUAUGCCAUCAUUUUUCAAGAUUAUUGGUCACUCAAAAAGAAAGAAAAAGUCUUAUGUGUAUGUAUUUGGCCCAUGAAUCAAAUAUGGUAUUAGUAUUCAAAGUUUGUAAAAAAGGAAUGGUUGUGCUUCUUUUAUUUAAUAAAUAUAUCAAUACUACUUCAUCAAAUGGAAUUUAAUAUAUUAUAUCAAUAUUAAAGUAACGUCGAUUAUAUAUAUAUAUCAUUUGAAAAUAGAAUCAUCUCCACCAUUAUAGUUGGUUAGUGGUCAAAUAAGCCAGUUAUGAACUUUGAAAAAUAUCUUUUAAACUCAUCUAUUUUUAGUUACCAGUGUUUACAACAGUACAUCAAUUGUGUAUACCAAGCUUCCUACUUUAUGAAAAACAAUGCCAAUUCUUAAAUCCACUUUAUACUAGAUACCUACUUAACAGUAGUUUGUUUAAUUUAUAGAACUUAGUUAAAUUAAAGAUCACUAUGGAUGGACAUAUGAAUUGUCACAGUUGUUUGUGUUAAUCUAAGAUAGUUGAGCAUUAUUUUAAAGAUUUAUGAACAUCUAGUUAGGAUGCUCUACCAGAUGACAUCGUCAGAGUUUUGGAUGUCCUUGAAACUUUGCCUUUUUGCCUUUUGAGAUUCUCACGUUAACUUCGUUUAUUUUUACUUUUCUAACUUUUUUUCAUAUAAAUAUAAAAUCCAUCUCUCUUUUUUAAUUUUAAAUAAAAUUGAUUUUUUUUCUUAUUAUACUGUGACUGUUUUAUUUUUUAUUAAAAUAUUCCAAUCUAAAUUAGUGUAUAUACGUAUUAGAAAACUAACUAGUAUAAAGAGAGAUUAAAAAAGAUGUCUUUAUUAAUUAAUGAAUAAUCAUAGAAAUGGUUGGAAUAUAUUAGGUCAAUUUAAGAUACUAAUGCGUACAAAUUCUAUAAAACAAAUACAAUUAUGAAAGUAUUGUUGGAUAUGUUGAGAAAUAUUCAUACAAAAUAAACGUAGUUAUGUAAGAAUGUGAAAUAUAUCCCAUAGUUAUUUUUAAUGUUUGUUGUAAGUAUUAUAAAUGAAAAGAUGAAAGAUGAAUUCAUACAUUUUUAUAAGAUAAAAGUAAAAUUGUAUAAUAUAAGUAUAAUGUAUGUAUGUAUAUGAAUGCAAUGUAAAGGAUUGAGUGAUAAGUGAUAUAUAUAUAUAUACACACACAACUUACGUUAAAGGGAUUAAAAGUUGGACUACAUGUGUGAUGUUAAUUAAAUAAUAAAGAAUAAAAAGAAAUAAAAGGAAUCGAUGAAUUGAGGAAGUAAAAAGGAGACAAAGUCAACAGUAUCGAUUCACUUCAACAAAACACACACACGCUUCCAAAUAAGCGAUAAGAUCAGAAAAUGAACCAUUCGUUCUUUACUUCCUCAAAACUGAAACUACACUACAACACACACUCAUCAAUUUGAUGUUGCUUUGCAAUUGCAUAUUCCCCUCACCCAUCAAAAUUAAUUAAUCAAUCAACAAUCAGAGUACCAACCACAACAUUGCUCUUCAAAUUCUGUAUUUUCCACAUCAUUGAUCUCUUCACUUAUUAAACUUCCAUCCUUAAUUUCUCUUUGAUCCACAAACCCUUCUCGUAAUCUCUUUACAUUUCCACCCAACUUCUUUUUUCGUUCAAUUGCGGCAGCUCAAUUUGUGUCUUGGGUUGUGCUCCGAUUUCAUGUUUUAGUUUUCAAACCAUUUCUGGGUUUGGCUACAGGUCAUGGCUGCAUUGGCUUCUAAACUUUUGAUGCCCUCUGACAAUGGUUACAGGGUGUGGGAAGACCAAACUUUCAUCAAGUGGAGGAAGAGGGAUUCCCAUGUUCCUCUACGCUGCCAGGAUUCUGUUGAAGGUAUCUCCUUCCUUAUCUUUUUACAUUUAAAAUUAAAAAAAAAAAAAAAAAAAACGGAUUCCACAACAAAAUGCCCUUUCUCUGUGGAUCAUGGAUAUCAAUUGCUUCUUAAACAUUGUCUUCUAGGGGCCCUCAUUAGUGCCUAAUAAUGUGUAUGCUUAGGAUGUCUUAAGUACUGGCAAGACCGUACUAAAGUAGACUUACUGGUGUCGAACUCGGCUGUUUGGAAUGAUGAUGCUGUUCAAAGUGCUCUUGACAGUGCUGCUUUCUGGGUUAAGGACUUACCUUUUAUCAAGUCUCUAUCUGGUUAUUGGAAAUUUUACUUGGCUGCUACUCCAACAAGUGUUCCACACAAUUUUCAUGCUACUGUAUUUGAGGAUUCUCAAUGGGCAAAUUUGCCAGGUAUAUUACAUUUACAACGCGUCAAGAUAUAGUUAGGAUUUAAAAUGUUUAUUGCCCACGUUUUUCUUUGCAUUGGGCUCUCUAUUCUCAUCUAUAUUUCUAGCCUAAACUCAAUUAGCCAUAUUCAUAAGUAUGUUUGGAGAUACCCUCCAAGGUCUUUGGUUCAGGCCUGGUUUGAUGGAUCAGUUUAUCAAUGAUCAGAAUCGAAUCAUUAGAGUUCAGAAAGUUAAAUCAUAGCUGUCUCGUUGCAUAUGAUUCUUUAGGAAAUAAAGAGGAAUAUAGAACAUCUAUUUUUCUUCAAUGUCGUUUUUUUGCCUGGUAAACUCUUUAUUGCUUGUCUAUUUGGAACAGUUCCUUCGAAUUGGCAAAUGCAUGGAUUUGAUCGGCCCAUUUAUACCAAUGUUGUCUAUCCCUUCCCUCUUGAUCCUCCACAUGUUCCAGAGGACAAUCCUACUGGCUGCUACAGAACUUAUUUCCACCUUCCAGAAGAAUGGAAAGGUUCUUUUUUCUUCUUUUCCUUGUUUUCUAAAAAUGUAGGAAACAGACAUUAUUCAAUAUGCCAUCUCUGUAAUCUAUAUUAUAUUUGAUGUAUAAACAAUGACUUUGACAGGUCGUAGAAUUUUGUUGCACUUUGAAGCUGUUGAUUCUGCAUUUUUUGCGUGGAUAAAUGGGAGUCUUGUAGGGUACAGGUAAACGGUGACUUGUAAGGCUGGUUUAUUUGUCAUUUUUUUAGUCUUUGAUAGUGUUGCUCCCUUUCAUGCUGGUUUUCUUAUGAGAAAAUAAAAUGGAAGAAUUGCAUUUUGUUUUCCAUUUUAGCUACUGAAAUGUGAUUUGGCUUGUGGUUUUUAAUAGACCGUGCCUAGUGAAGGUGUGGCCAUUUGGAGGGGUUUGGUGAAAUUAGUAUUGAAAGCUCAUUGAAAGUUAGGAGAUUGUAUUGUUGGAUAUGAAAACUGUGGUUAAAGCCUUUAAUGGGAGUAGUGAUAAAUCUGAAACUUUUUGGAAGAGUUAAAUAUUUGGUGUGAUUAUGGCUUUGUCAGUCAGGAUAGUAGACUACCAGCAGAGUUUGAAAUAACAGAAUAUUGCCAUCCAUGUGGCUCGCAGUCCAAAAAUGUUCUUGCUGUUCAAGUGUUAAAAUGGAGUGACGGUUCUUACCUUGAGGACCAAGACCAGUGGUGGCUCUCAGGGAUUCAUCGGGAUGUAAUUCUUUUAUCCAAACCUCAGGUUUAUUUUCUAUAUCUUCUCUAGUCUACUUUCUGUUUUAUUUGUAAAGGUUUUUAAGUGUUUUUAAUCGAUUAUGCUGGUUAAAAAAAUAAACUUGAAAUUAUAUCCAUAUCAUAAGUCACAACUAUUGAUUUCUUUAUGCGUGUGUGUUUGUGUAUGUGUCAUAUAUAUCUUCGCACUAGUUUAGUUCUGUAUCUCUAAUACUUCUAAAAUUAAAUAGUUGAGAAAAUAAAGUUGAAAUGUUAUUGUUCUUGCUUCCAAUUUGGUUGGUUCCUAAGAUAAAAAAUUUGCAUGUAGGUGUUCAUAGGGGACUACUUUUUCAAGUCACAUGUUGGAGAGGAUUUUUCUUAUGCUGAUAUACAGGUACGCUGUAGAUUCACAUGUUACCAUUUAUAUGCUUUCAGCAUAAACUUUCGUUUUUACUUUUUAAAUAAAAUGAAAUGUAUUAAUUUUAAGUUUUAACUUAUAUUUUAAAAUAUUUGGGUCAAAAUGUUUAAUUUCCCAAAUGGUUGAAAAAAGAGCGAGGAUAGAAUGAAGGAAUUCGGUGAAGUGAUGACAGAGCAUGGAAUGCGUUUAAUUUACAUGAAUAAUGAAGAAACAAGUAGUCCCCAACUUGGUGGUUUUUCAUGGUCGUGCUAACACAAUAGAUUGGUUGAUCAGGACUACCUUUGCUUGUUGGGCCGUUCAAUUGUCUUCUUUGUCAAAAGGGGAGAGUAUGCUAGUUUGUUUGAGAAAUGUUUUUUCCAUACUUUUGGCUUCUGUGUGGCUCAUCAGAGCGGUACCAGGAGUAUGGUCGAGCAGUUCCUCCUCAAUUUAUGGGAGGGGGAAAAGUAUUUUUUCGUUUUUUAUGGCUUUCCGGGGCUUGUGCUAUUUAUGGACUUUGUGGGGUGAGCGGGAUAAUAGGACUUUUAGAGGGAGGGAUAGGGACCUAGUGAGAUUUAGUCUCUUGUUCUCUACCAUGUUUCUUUUGUGGUCUUCAAUUUUGAAGACCUUUUUUAACUACUUUAUAGGCAUUCUUUUCAUAGUUGGAGUCCCUUUUUGUAGAAGAGUUUCUCCUUUUUAUGGGCUUGGUUCUUUUGUAUGCUGUUGCUUGUAUUUUUUUCAUUUUUUCUUAAUGGAAGUUGUUGUUCCUAUACCAAAAUAAAAAUAAAAAUGAAAGUAAAGUAUGAAAUUGGAUGUAAAGUGAGCACUACUGCGAGAAGUAGUUAUAAGCAAAUGGUGGAUUGUGAGUUGGACAAUAAUAAUAAUAAAGGCCUAUUGCAUGAGCAACUCCUAAAUUAUAGAGUUUUUAGUUUGAAGCUGAUCAAGAGAUUGCAAGACAACUGAUACCUUUCAAUUUUAUUCAUGCUUUGUCAUGUACCUCUUGGAAGACUAGCAGUAUCUCAGUAGCAGCUGGAGUUAUUUGUUUUGGUUUUCGUUUGUUUUCUCAAGUUGUUUUGUAUUGUUCUGAGCGUGUUGGUUCUGGUUUGUUUAUUUUUUCCCUUUGUAUUAGCUUGUUCUUUUUGGUUUAGCUGUGUUUGGGGUUGUUUCUUUUGUUUCUUAUUGUCUCGUUGUAUUUGGUUCGGUAUUUUGUACUUUGAGCUUUAAUCUCAGUCGUUAUAUCGAUGAGGCUUGUUUCUGUUUUAAAAGAAAAAUUAUAUUCAUUAGAAACCCUUGUUUUAACCCUGAGUUAUUUUGUAAUUAUAAUCUCUCUCAAACUUGUCACUAGUUGGGCUCCUUUUUUGUAACAUAAGCAUAAAGAAUAUUAUUAGUUUUUCUUCAAAAAAUUGGUCCUCUAAAUUAUCUAUAAUGUAACUGGAGAGAGACAGAAAAAGAAAAAGACGUACAAUUAGAUUCCAAUGACAAACGUAACUGUAGAAGUUUGGGACACAAACGUCAGUUGGCUUAAAAAUAAUGUGUGUGUGUGUGUAUAAGAUUUUAAAAUCUUUUUAUCUUUUGAGUUGGGUCAAUAUUAAAAUUUUAACUUUUGAUCCAAUAAGAUUGAAAAAACUGAUUCAGAUAUCUCUUAAAAGAACGAACCUUGUCAUGGUACAGUUUCCAUAAACUGACAUAUUGAUUUUGUUUGAUUGAUGGCAUGAAUUUUCUAAGCAUCAUGUAUAUCACUGCGUCAAUUACCCGACAUGACAGAAACUUGUUUAUGGAAUCUUACAGGUUGAAGUGAAGAUUGACAGCUCUCUUGAAGGGAGGAAGGAAAAUUUUCUUAACAAUUUUAAGUUAGAAGCAGUAUUGUUUGACAGUGGAAGCUGGGACAAUCAUGAUGGUAAUAUUGAUCUUCUCUCGUCAAACAUGGCCAAUGUUAAGCUUUCUCUGCUUUCUGUCACAACCCUGGGGUUUCAUGGUUAUGUACUUGGGGGAAGAUUGCAAAAACCUAAACUUUGGUCUGCAGAGCAGGUAAUAAAGAUUCUCAUUCAUCUGUUACUUUCUCCUCUUUCUUUGUUACAUUUUGCUAAUUUUUAUUUUCUGCUUUUUCCCUUGUAAACAGCCACAUCUAUACACUCUUAUUGUUCUUUUGAAAGACUCAUCAGAUCAGAUUGUUGACUGUGAAUCAUGCCUAGUUGGAAUAAGAAGUAUAACCAAAGGUCCAAAACAGCUACUUGUCAAUGGUCGUCCAGUGGUAAUCAGAGGCGUGAACAGGCAUGAGCAUCAUCCACGUCUCGGGAAGACGAACAUAGAGGCCUGCAUGGUUCGGGUAACGCUUUCCUUUUCCUUUUUCUCUGGGCUAAAAAUUAAAUUUUCUGAACGCAGUUACAAAAAUAGUGAAGUCUAACCAAAAAAUCAGUAGAUAAUAAAACAUUCAAACUCAACAACAAAAACGUGAAAUCCAACUUAUUGUAUGCAGUUAAAACUAUCCUUGCGGAGAUUUGAUUUGAAUGAAUUCACUUAUUUUUCAUGACAAUUCUCUUCCUUGGUUUGAUCUGUUUGAGUUUGCUCAGACUAAGGCCUCUUUUUGGUGCUGAUAUCUCUCCAAGUCUUUUACAUGAUCUCCACUCAAGAUUUGUUUAAAUUGGAAUGCUUUUGUCCUUCCUGCAUAUUGUAUUUUGAGCAUUAGACUCUUUUCAUUUUAUCAAUGAAAUACCUCUUUCCUUUUUUUUUUUUUCAAAAAAAGAAAGAAAGUAAAGCUACAUGAUUAGAGAAACCGGAACAACAAAAAUAGUCUCCUUUAUGAAUACAUGCUUACCUAGUUACGAAUCUUCAAAAGAAAUUAGAAAUUAAACGAAGGAGUUUAAUUGCAUCAUUUAUUCAAAUAGAGGAUUUAAAUUGCUAUACUCAUUCAACGUUGACAUGGAUGAAAUUUGACUCAUCCUCUUUUGUUUAAGGGUAUAAACCCAACUUUUUCAAUUUCUUUAUUGUUAUUUCUUACGCUAAAGAGGCCUAAUUUAUAGGCCGUAGGAUGAGGUUUUCCUGAAGGGACGUUUAUGGGCUGUAGGGAUGGCACACUAUAUAGUGACUGAAUUGUUUGUUUAUUAUUGUGAUUGCAGGAUUUGGUCCUAAUGAAACAGCAUAACAUUAAUGCGGUGAGAAACAGCCAUUAUCCUCAACACUCUCGAUGGUACGAGCUGUGUGAUUUGUUUGGCAUGUACAUGGUAGAUGAGGCCAACAUUGAAACACAUGGUUUUGAUUUUUCUGGACAUGUGAAGCAUCCAACUUUGCAACCUAGUUGGGCUGCUGCAAUGUUGGAUCGUGUAAUAGGAAUGGUGGAAAGAGACAAGAACCAUGCCUGUAUUAUUGUUUGGUCCUUGGGCAAUGAGUCUGGAUAUGGACCCAACCACUCUGCUCUAGCUGGUAUGCCAUUUUGAUUUAGUUAUAUCCUUUGAGUUGAUUUAAGUGUAAGAAAUGAUUAAAAUACGCUUGUUUGAUGCUUGGAAGGCCAAUUUAUCACGCUUAUGCAUGUUGGAUGCAAUAUUUUUAUUUCUGUUAGAAGUAUUUUGACUCAGACAUUGGUGUAGGUUGGAUCCGUGGAAAAGAUUCGUCUCGGGUGUUGCACUAUGAAGGAGGAGGAUCUAGAACCUCUUCUACUGAUAUAAUUUGUCCAAUGUACAUGCGCGUGUGGGACAUAGUGAACAUUGCUAAUGAUCCCAAUGAAACUCGUCCAUUGAUACUUUGCGAGUGAGUCUUGUUGAUAACUAUUUUCUAAACUUCUAUGGCAAUUUUACAACAUUUUUAUCGUGGGCUUUUGUUAACGUUAUACAUCUUUAAAAACAACAGGUACUCACAUUCAAUGGGAAACAGCACUGGAAAUCUUCAUAAAUAUUGGGAAGCAAUUGACAACACCUUUGGCCUCCAAGGAGGUUUUAUCUGGGAUUGGGUUGACCAGGUUUUGACACUGUUCGAUCUGUAUUGAUAAACUAAUAAUGUAGAGUAAACUGUUUGUUUGUUCUUCUACCCAUGAAUUAUCUGUUUCAUUUAUCUAUUUUUAUGCUGCAAACUAAUUUUUCUAAUCAUUAGCUUUGGGGUGUUUACUGUUUAACCCCUUUUUGCAUUAGUUUCAAAUGUUUUACUUUUGAUCUAGGCACUAUUGAAGGAAGUUGGCAAUGGCAGGAAGCGAUGGGCAUAUGGAGGUGAAUUUGGGGAUAUUCCAAAUGAUUCGACUUUUUGUCUCAACGGAGUGACAUGGCCAGAUCGAACUCCACAUCCUGCACUACAUGGUAAUGCAACAAUCAGAUUCUUAUAUAUAUCUACGUGUUGAGCAACAAUUUUGGAGGCAUCAUGUAUGUUACUGACUAGCUUUCAAAUUCGCAAAACUCUGAUUUCAGAGGUCAAGUAUCUUCAUCAGGCAAUCAAAAUUUCAUCAAAGGAUGGAACACUUGAGGUUUUCAGAUGCCUAACUAGAUUAUUUCAUCAAUUGUUGAAGUUUGGAGGGAGAUGUCUUACAAUGUAUUUCCAUUUGCAGGUUCUGAAUGGUCAUUUUUUUUCAACAACAGAGGAUUUGGAGUUCAGUUGGAGCAUUUAUGGUGAUGGUCUUGAACUUGGAAAUGGAAUUCUCUCUCUUCCUGUAAUAGGUCCUCGGGGAAGUUACAAUAUUGAAUGGCAAUCAAGUCCAUGGUAUGAUCUAUGGGCUUCAUCAUCUGCACUGGAGUUCUUUUUAACUAUAUCCGUGAAACUUCUGCACUCAACACGAUGGGCCGAAGCUGGUCACAUUGUUUCAUUAUCACAAGUCCAGUUGCCAAUGAAGCGAGAAUUUUUUCCUCAUGUAUGCUUUUAAACACCGAAUAAAACUAAGUUGGGGAAUUUACCAUUUCAAUAAUAUAAAUUAACUGUGGAAAAUAUAUAUUGAUGCGCAGUCCAUCAAGAAUGGAAGUUCUACUUUAGUCAACGAAAUUCUUGGGGAUUCAGUUCGAGUCUACCAGCAGAACUUAUGGGAGAUUAAAUUAGAUGUUCAAACAGGAACUCUUGAAAGCUGGAAGGUAAUAUAAUAUAUAAUUGAAUUUGUUAAUCUAUAGGGGUUUUUAAUUUCACUAUGCUUUAUUUUAAAGUUGGAUAUGAAAUGAAGCAACCCCCUUUUAAGAUAUGUAUCAGCAUAAUUUUAUUAUUCUUCAACAUGUUUUUUGAGCUUCACGAGAACUAGGGAGUCCAAUUUUAAGUGUUGACUUGCAGGUUAAAGGAGUUCCUCUGAUAAUUAAAGGCAUCAUUCCUUCCUUCUGGAGAGCGCCCACUGAAAACGACAAAGGUGGAGGUUCAUGUAGUUAUUUAUCUGUAUGGAAGGCUGCUCAUAUUGACAAUCUCUCUUUCACUGCGGAAAGAUGCUCCAUACUUAGUACAACAGAACAUUAUGUGAAAAUCGCUGUCAUUUUUCUUGGCGUCAGGAGUGAUGAUCGGCAGGCUUCUAACUCUGACUUAGAGAAAUCAAAUGUCUUGAUUCAAGCGGAUAUGACAUAUACAAUUUUUGGUUCUGGGGAUGUUCUUGUGAACUGCAAUGUACAACCAAGUCCAAAUCUUCCUCCUUUGCCUCGGGUGGGAGUUAAAUUUCAUCUAGAUAAAUCUAUGGACCGGGUCAAAUGGUAUGGAAGAGGGCCGUUUGAGUGUUAUCCUGAUCGAAAGGCAGCUGCUCAUGUUGGAGUUUAUGAGAAGAAUGUGUCUGAAAUGCAUGUCCCAUACAUUGUCCCUGGAGAAUCUUCGGGCAGGACUGAUGUCAGGUGGGUAACUUUUGAAAACAAGGAUGGUGUUGGAAUCUAUGCCUCAAUUUACGGAAGCUCACCGCCUAUGCAAAUGAGAGCUAGCUAUUACUCCACAGCAGAACUUGAACGUGCUGUACACAAUGACGACCUUGUUGAGGGAGAUGACAUUGAGGUAGAUAUUUCGGAAUAUUUAGCAUAGCUCUGAGCAUUUAAAUACGGCUGCCUAAUAAUAUUCCUUAACCGCACAGUUCACACAAAUUUUUUAAGAAUAUGCUGGUUUCACCCAUAUUGUUAGUCGCUCAUUAGUAGCAACGCAAUCAAUUGACUAACAGAUGAUCUCUGAUUUGACUCUUCUGUUGGGUUUUACCAUCCUCUACAAUCUAAUCUCUUAGUUUCAUCGUGGUGUCAUGUAGGUUAAUCUUGAUCACAAGCACAUGGGCGUGGGAGGAGAUGAUAGCUGGUCUCCCUGUGUGCAUGAAGAAUAUUUACUUCCUCCAGUGCCAUACUCGUUCUCGAUCAGGUUCUGUCCAGUAACUCCAUCCACUUCUGGCUAUGAUGCUUACAGAUCCCAACUUCUAUUGUAGUGAAUUGGGCGUCAGCAUUCAACCAAGUAAAUAACUUCCAAUAAUCUAUUGGUUUGCUUAAUGACAAAAGGGACUUGCCAUCUCAUAGCUAACCAUGUAGACUCUCUCUCUCUCUCUCUCUGGGUCUGUCUAGAUGUAAUAUUCAGUAGAAUCUCUGUGUGACCUGGAGUGGAGAAGAGAGAAGACUCAUAUUAGUUGUGAUUAUCUAUGGGUCGCAUUAAAUAAACAUUACAAAUAAUGGGAAUGCUGCAAUUGAUACCCGUAAAAGAGAAUUUUUAUUGAUGUUAUUGAGAUAAUAGAUGCCCCUCUGUUUGUUUGUUCUAUCCCUCCCACGUAUGUUGAUGUUAAGAGUGACAAUUCUGAUUGCUGGGCUCUUUAGAAGCUGAGGAUUCGAGCAAUAGGUUGGGGAUAUUGUUUCCGACCAGGGACUUGAAAGGAGUCCUCCAUUUGACCCCGAUCCCCCAAUCAAACCGGGAUUCUUCGUCAUUCAAAACUACUACUUUGUUACCUUCUUUAAAUUAAGAUAAAAGUUUUGUGUGUGUGUGUGUGUUUUUUUCUUUUUUCUUUUUUUUGCAAAAUUCAGUCCUGAACAAAAUUGAAAGUCUAAAUUAGGUAGAAAAUGGAUGGAUAAGAGGAAAUUGAUAGACAAAUAAAACCUAUGUAAUUGAAUCAGCAAUUUCACAGUUUAAAGGAUUGAUUUUAUUGUUAUCUUUUAUCUUUCUAUUGUAAUUGAGAAUUAUUUUUAAAUAAAAGGGUUGUUUUCAAUUAUAGCAAAAUGAAAAAAAAAUAAAAAAAUUUAGGGAUUUUUUUUAAAAAUAAUGUAUUUUGUAAAAAUAUUUUGAAAAAUAGGGUUGUUGGGAAAGAAAUUAUAAGAAUAAGGUUGUUUCCAAAACUAUUUAAAAAAAUAUAUGUUUUUUUUGAAAUUGGAGGAAGUCGUGUACGGGGUACACGACUUUCAAAUGAAAUUGAACGAAGUCGUGUACGGGGUACACGAUUUCCUAAAUGUACAUGUCAGCACACUUCGCUCCAUGUAUGCACGAGUUUUAACAUAAUAAUAAAAUAAAAUAAUAAAAUAAAAUAAUUUUAACAACAAAAUUGUGUACCCGUCCACGAUUUUUAGAAAAACAUAUAUUUAUCACGAAAUAGAAGAGGAAAAGUGAAGAGAGGAAGAGAAUUUGAAAGGAAAAAUGGAUGAACCCUAUGGUUGCUGUUGACUGUUGACUCACUGUUGACUCAUCGUACGGAAGUCGUGUACGGAGUACACGACUUAUCCCAUAUGCGGCAAAAUGUGCCAGCUGUACAGGAGUCGUGUACCCGGUACACGAUUUCAGUCACCUAUUUUUGAAAAUACUUUCCCAACUACCCUAUUUUUGUAAAUACUUUUACAAAAACACAUUAUUUUUUAAAAAAAUCCAAAAUUCAGGUGCUAUGAGCAGGUGGUUAAUAGUUAUUGAUUCUUAAAUGCAAUUAAGAUUAAAAAAGAAUAAUAAUGCAAUAGACUAAAUUAGAAUAAACGAACACCGUUUGAUACCUUAAAAAAGAAAAAGAAAAAAAAGAAAAACAGAGAUGUUUUGAAAUUCUAGAAAUAUAACCUUCUAAAAAACUGUUAGUAAAAUUAUAAUUUUAGCGCUUAGAAUUAAUUGCGCGCGCAAUGGUCCACUUUGCAACCAAACCAUUUCACUCCACUCCACUUCUCGAAGCUUAUUUCCAUUCCUUUUCUCCAUUAAUCUUCAACUUGGAGCACCAAUCCAAGCUCCCAUGGCGAUGCUGUCGUCUUCAUGUGCGGUCGCCGAUUUAGUACUCAAGAACGCACUCAUUUUUACCUGCGACGAUUCUCUUCCUUUCGCCGAUUCCAUGGCCAUUCUCAACACCAGGAUUCUCCGCGUCGGCACCUACUCCGCUGUUCAGGUUCUUCAAACCUCUUCCCUUCCACUUUUAUUUACAUACCACUAGAACCUGCGCGCUAUCUUUUGACAGAGGCAUUCGGAGUUAUGUACUGGAAGUUAUAUAGUUUCUGAUCAUUGUACUCGAGUCUCGUACAGGAGGAUUCUAGAAUUUCAUCCCUCUUUUCACCGUAGCUUACUCUCUGUUUGUGAAAUCGAAGCAUGUUUUUCGGUUCUCUUAUGUAGUAUGUCUUCAUUUAUGUGAAUACAGGACUUGGUUGGACCGAGGACAAAAGAGUUGAAUCUCGGGGGAAAAGUUGUGGUUCCUGGUUUUAUUGAUGCACAUGGCCACUUAAUUUAUCAAGGACUGCAGGUUUUAGUGAAGCUUCCUGUAUUUCAACUGAUUGCGUUACUAACUCACUGAAUUCUGCUUCCCUUGUUGAACCGUUUUCAGUUUUAUUUUCGGUGGAAUCUCCGUAUGCUUUUAUCGAUGUCUCAAAAAUUUGAUUAGUGAUUACUUUUUGUUAUUUAUUGGCGGCUAACCUCGUAUGAAUCAGAUGAAGGAAGUGAACCUUCAUGGUGUAAAUCAUAAACAUGAGUUUGUGACAAGGAUUGCAGAAGCAGCUAAAAGUAAUUUUCUCUCGUUAAAGUAGUUCACGAUUCCAGUGAGAAAUGUUAUCUCGAUUAGUAUUUAGUGUGUUUGUUCUAUGACGCUUUAAAUAGACGUAUGCUUUUAAAUGAGUUUUUGCCAUUUGAUUGGUGCAAGAUAGAAACAAACCAGAGAAUAAUUAUUAUCAUAGGUUUAGUCUGGGUGGGAUUUAUGGAGGCGAGGACAGGUAUAUAAUUUUUCUUGGUUUCCAUUUCAAUAUUUAGAUGAUCAUUUUAAAUUAUAAAUGACUUGGAGGGAUUUUUCUUACUUUUUAUUGAGUCUCCUAGAUCUCAAUUAAAAAACCUCCCAUGCAGUCAUAGUAAAUAUUCCAAGCUUAUUUGUUUGAAAUGUGAUUUCACCGAAAGAUCUUGGAAUUACAUCUUCCGUUCCUCGAUCUUCUCUUAGAAAAAUAUCUUGCAUUCUUCUGGCUUAAAUAGGCAAUUCUUUCAGCUAAAUUAGAUUCUUGGUGGAACUGCAAUAUUUAACGGGGCCUAAAAACCUCAAGCGGGAAGUGACAAGAUUUUGGAAAGUGCUGCGUAUGGUCAGUUCCAGUUUAGUAAUAGCUUGGUUGUGCCUUAUCCUAUUUUGUACUUGUUUUAAGAAACAUUAAGGAACUAAUAAAAAAACCUUAAUUCAAUAGAAAAACAAAGGUACAUGAUAUGGGUAACACAUUCUUUUAUGGAACCUAGGAGAUAGAAAGAACUCCCAAUUGGCCAAGUAUAAUGGAAUAAAAUUAUUUGGAAACUCUUAUUAAUACAAGACACCUCCUAUUAUACAUUCUGAAAGAAAUAGAAUACCGAGAAAACAAUGACAUUUUCUCAUACUAAUGCAAGUCUAGUGAAAGAAAUUAUUAAGAAACUGCUAGGCCACCGAUAUUAUUUAAAUAUAGCUGGAAAAAUAAUAACAACAGAAAUAUCAACCCACGCAAGAAUAUAGGAGAGAUUAUAGGGGGAGAGAAUAUCGGGGAAGAUCUUUCACAAUCGUCAGUGAGUAUAACAGAUUAAAAUGGAGAAAAGAGGAGGAAAGAGGGGAGAAGAAAAAUAUUCCAGAUUAGGAGAAGCUGCUCUCUUUCAGUUCGAGAGAAGCAGAGGAUCGAAGUCAAGUUUAUUUAAUAGUUGUUUGGUCGUUUACAUUGUUCUGAGUUUUCCAUAUUUUAUUUGCUUGUUCUGAUCUGUUCGGAUUAGAUUGAGGCUUAGGAGAUAGGAGUGUGUGAAUUUUUCUUUGAUUAUUUGAUAUUGUAAUUUGUAAAUUCAAGUCAAUAAAAUAAGAUACUAUCAGUAUCUUUACAGAAACUCUUACUAAUUCAAGACCACUCCCAUUAGUAAUUUUGAAAGAAAAAGAAUACUGAGAAAAUAACCACAUUUUCUACUUUUGUUGGCCUGAGUUUCUUUCAUUCUUAAUUCUCUUUUUUCCUCAAGUCUUUCUUAAGUUGCCUAGAUGGCAGUAGCAACCUUGUACUUCUUUCUUUUGAUUUUUUUUCCCUGCUACAAAGUAAAACAAAUAUAUACUAACUAUAAUGGGUUGACCUAGUGGUAAAAAAGGAGACCUAGCCUCAAUAAUUAACUAAGAGGUCAUGGGUUUCAAUAAUUAACUAAGAGUCAUGGGUUAAAUCGUUUCCUACGAGUUACCUUAUGUUGUAGGAUCAGGAUAUGUGCAUAAGAAGAAAAAAAAUAAAUAAAUAAAAUAAAUAAAAUAAAUAUAUAUAUAUAUAUACAUAUAAAAUAUAUAUAAAUAUAAAUAUACUGUGUUUAUAGCUUCUAAAUAAUUUAUUAUAAUAUUUUGGGCGUGUAUGUGAUGAUUCCGAGAGCCAUCUAAUUUUGAGCUUUACAAAAAUAUUCAGACACUAAGAAAGGAACUUGGGUACUGGGUGGCGGAUGGAAUAAUGAUCUUUGGGGAGGUGAAUUGCCAAUGGCUUCUUGGAUUGAUGAUGUUACGCCAUCUAACCCUGUAAGCCAUUUCUUUCUUUAAGGUGACUACUACGAAACGUAUCUUCUGUAAUUUAUUUUUCAUUCAAAACUUGGCGUACAGGUUCUUCUGUCAAGGAUUGAUGGUCAUAUGAGUUUGGCUAAUAAUGUGACACUUAAGUUGGCUGGCAUCUCUAAUUUAACGGAAGAUCCAGAAGGCGGGACCAUAGGAAAAACUACUGGUGGAGGUGCUGUUUUACAGUUUGGUUGAAAUUUAAAAUUUUUGUAGGAAGCAAAAAUAUUUACUAUGAAAACAUUGAAAAGAACUACGGAGAAAUAAGAGGAUUGAUUAUUUUUUAUAUUACAAGAAUUAUUUAAAAAAUAGUUUCUAUUUCAAACACAAAAAGAAAAAAAGAAAGAAAGAAAGAAAAGGCCAGGUGUAAAUGUUGAGAUAAUUCAACGUGGUUCAGACAUCUAACUUUUGAGUAUUACAUAUGGACUCUAGCUCGACAUAUGCUAAUCAUUGCAGUUUAUUAUAUCUGGAUGGGCUUGAAUUUUGAUUGAAGUCUUAUCAUAUUUGAUUUAAAAUGCCAAAUGAACUGCUUAAAUAAGCCAUUUGGUUAGGCAAACUUCAACAUUUAAAAAUUCAUUACAAUCAAGGUCACGCCAAUAUCAAAUAUGAAGUUGGCUGGGUGUGUUUCUUUCUUUCAUACAUUUAUUUGUUAGGGAAUGAAGCAAAACAAACUUAACGUAAAAAAAAUACUUUUUAGCAGGAAAAUUAUACCAUCUUCUGUUUAAAGGGGUCCCCAAAAGAGCCCCUCAUUGUACUAUGAAAUUUCAUUUCCCAUUCUUUGUUCUUUUGUGAAGAAAACCAGUCAACUUCAUUUCUCUUUUUCUGCUUUCUUUUUCUUUUUGUACGUUUCAGUUGUCAAUUGAUCUUAAUGAGGUCAAAUGAAGUUAUCUAUAAUUUAGUUUUUGUGCCCCAGAUCCUACUGGAUUGCUGAUUGAUUCUGCAAGGAAGUUGGUCCUACCUUUUAUUCCAAAGGUUGCGGUAGAGGAGAGAAGAGAAGCAUUGGUAAGGGCCAGUAGUCUUGCCCUGGCUAGAGGUGUUACAACAAUAGUUGAUUUUGGAAGAUAUUAUCCAGGAGAAUCAGUGGAAUUAUCAUGGGAAGAUUUUUCUGGUAAUUUUUCUAUUGUUUUAAUUACUAGUUCAGGCCUCUCUCUCUCUCUAACUUAUCUUGGUUUGCUUCCUCGAUGUCUGCUUAUACGGAAGGACUCACAAUAGGCAGAUAUGAUUACUUAUUAUUUUCCUACCUUCUCGUAGUAAAUCAAUUUUUUUUAUCGGUGUGCAAUAAUUUUAAAUGGGCAGAUGUGUAUCAGUGGGCAGAUUCUUCAGGGAAGAUGAUGAUCAGGGUUUGCUUAUUUUUUCCAAUGGAAACAUGGUCAUCGCUACAUGUAUGACACCCAAUGGAAUGUUAUUUAAAUGAUGUUCGUCAUAUUUCCCAAGUUUGUGUUGCUAACUUCUUUAAUUCGUAUCUGGAACAUAUAUAUGCCAUUUUAGAAUAUGCUACUUAAUUUUACAGUAAGAAACAUAAACAUGCAAACCAACAUUGAUAUGGGCUGUCUUUAUUGAAUUGAACUUUUGGCAAAUGACUUUAUAUGUCAACUCAUCCCAUGUUUUUUUUAAACGGAGACAAGCUUCUUUAUUAAUAAUAAACUCAAAGUACAAAAGAGUUAUACAGUGGAAAUAAUUGAGAAACCUAGAAAUGGGAAAGAGGGAGGAUUAGUCAACUAGGUUGACACCCCCUUAGCACCCUCGUCAUAUCAAAAUAAGAAUAAUUCUAAGGUCAUGCAAAGACCAAAAAUAACAAUAUAAACUACCUAUAGGUAGACAGAUGCAAAGGACAAUAAAAACCGGAAAGCAUAAAACUAAGGAUCAAGUGGUGCACCCAAGACAUUUCAAUUAGAUUGACUCUCCAUAUUGUAAAAUGAUGGUUGCUUGUUUAAUUAUUUAAAGGCGCAGGUUUAUGUAUAUUUACUAUUUCUUUUUGACAAGUGUUGGAGGCUUAUUUGCCCCUCAUUUAGAGCUCAAAUAAUUUGUAAAUAUUUUCAUUGAUCAAUUUUUAGGGUAUUUCAUUAAUGUUUUUAUGUCUUUGUGGGUCUCUGCUUCAAUUGACAUGCUACUUAUGACUUUGCAACAGCCUUACCUGUGUACAGGCUUCUUUGAUCGCUUUACUUGCUUCAGUAUCUUCCCUUGUUUAUUCUUGCUUCUAAUAUUCUUUUUAUCCUCUCCAGGAUCUUAUCCACAAAAUGGGUCAGGUUGUGAGCCCAUGGAUGUACUUGGGUGGUGUCAAGGGUUUUGCUGAUGGGUCUUUAGGUUCACAUACUGCUUUGUUUCAUGAGGUGAGAGCAUCUGAUGUAGCUAUUGUGAGAGGGUUCUGUUAUAAUUUGUUUUAGUUGGUUGUUAGUUUAGUUUUGUUUGAUUAGUUGCCUUAAAUCCUCUAUAAUUGGAGAUUCAUCAUUUAUGUUUUGGAAUGUUUAAAAUUAUAAUAAAUAUUCCUUAUGAUUCUUAGACAUUUUCCUUCGAUGUUUGGUUGCAUAAAAUUGAUAUGAAACAAACUUUGUAAGAGGCUGAGGGCCCAAAUAAUGAAAGGUUUUUGGUUCAAGAUUACCGAAAUGAAAAGUUUUUGGCUCGACAUUCCAUAUUUUCCAGCUAAGAAGAGGAGGUUUUUCAUGGGUUUCUGGAAUGAUUCGAUGAUGGUUAUGAUCAGACAAUUUCAAGAAUGUAGAUGAACAACCUUACUUUAACAUGAUUUUCUCUACUCAAGAAUGUAGAGGAUGAAUCUUUUUAUGGAUUUGAUGAAUAUUUCGACGAGGAAGAUGAGCUUUUGUAUUGCUUGGAAAACUAUUUGUUGAAAAUGGAAUAUCAAAAAAAGGAGCUUCGAUAUUAUUGCAGAAGGAAAACCUUAUUUUACUGUUAGAGUGACAAGAUAAUGAAGAGGGACAUGAAUGGAAUAAAUCUUGGCAGCAAAUAGCAAACUUUGAGGAUGUAGAUGGAGAUGUUCAGUUUGGAUAUAUGUUUUUUCUUCAAGAACCUAGAAGCCAUAAGGAACUAUUUUACAAAUAUGUAACUAUCUGACAGUUUGAUGAGAUGUUGCGUUAGAUUUUUUAUGGGCUUAAAACAACCUUUUCUAUUGGUUUUUUUUUUUUUUGUAUCCUUGGAAGAAGUAGCUUUGAAGCAAGAUUUCUGACUGUGAAAUUGGGAAAACUCAGGUGAGUUUUUCUAUUUAAAAAGGAAGGGAAGUAUUAACGAUGUACCAUAUAAUGGUAGAGUUAUUUCUAUAAUUUUGUUUAAGUUGGUUUAGUUAUAUUUGAUAGUUACUUUUUUAUAAAUAGGAAAUUCAUCAUUUGUGCUGAGGGACUUUUAAAAUCAUAAUAAACAUUCCUUUGAGGAUUCUCUGAGAUUCUUACUUUUGUUGUUUGGUUGGAUCAGCACCACCUGGCAGGCAUUUGAGUUUGAUAUCUUCAAAGUUGAAACAUUCAUUGGAAGUCUGUGGCCAUUAGUUGAGAUCAUAUGGUUAAUGAUCAUUUGCAGUUUCUUUUUGGGGCCUACCUUGGUUCUUACGAAUUUAUGAUAAUAAUUAUCAUAUUGAGCUUUUCAAAAGUUGGAGUAUCUUCACCAUGUUCUGUAUUUCUAGUAAUACUCUUUUUGUACAUUGUUUCAUAACUAUCUAUGUUACCAUGUAGCCUUAUGUUGAUGAGCCUGGCAACUGUGGCAUGCAAAUAACAGAACGUGAGAAGCUUUUCAACUUGACCAUGGAAUCAGAUAUAUCAAAGCUUCAGGUUAUUUGCUAUUCAUCUAAAUAAGCAUGAUUGCAACAUGAUUGAUUCAAUAGAUUUACCUUAAAUUUGGUUCAGGUUGCUAUUCAUGCCAUAGGCGACAAAGCAAAUGAUAUGGUCCUUGAUAUCUACGAAUCUGUCAUUUCUACAAACGGGCCAAGGGAUCGAAGAUUUAGGGUAAUGGCUUUGAGAAAUAGGGAAGCUAAUUAACGUCUUGAUAAAUAUAACUCAUUGUUAUUUUGGUUUCUCAUGAAUAGGUCGAGCAUGCUCAACAUUUGGCACCUGAAGCUCCUCAACGAUUUGGUAAACUAGGGAUUAUUGCUUCAGCUCAGGUCUCUUAUUGUUUUCAUAUUGGAUCACUGUUGACAUGUUUCCCCCAUUUCCAAAUUCUCAGAUCAAUGAUUGAUACCUGGGCCAUGAGGCAAGAAUGAUAUAAAACGAAAGAAAAAAACCUGUAGAAACUAUUCACAUUGAAAAUCUUCUGCUGUGGCUAAAAGUCAUUUUACUUUUUCAUUCUGGGUGUGUGCUCUCAUGGCAUGGUUCUAUUUUUCCAAUAUUGCAUGAUUGUAUGCUAUGUCCUGAUAGGUUAUGUAUUUAGUUUCAGCAUAUAUAUUAACCACUUGUAAAAUAUUUUUUUAACAAAAUUCUCAUGUCUAAUGAAAGUCAUGCACCACAUUAAAUUAUUUACAUGAUGAACAGAGUUUGGAAAAAUUUUAAUACAUAAAAAGAUAGAGGUCUUUUUGUUGUCUUGGACUAGAGAAAGGAAAGGAUCUAGAGAAGGGGAAAGGAUGCAACCACGUCGUAAUUGACCUAAGUAGAAAUUAUGAGAUGUAAACGAAGCUCUAAUGCUUGUGUUGUGUGAAAAUAAUUAUCUACACCAAUUAAGGCUGGUUCGAAAUGCCUACAAAAGUAUUUUAAGUGCUACAAAAUGUUUUUAAGCAUUUAAAAUGUCAUUUCAAAAGACUUAAUCUUUCACGAUAAAUUUGUAUUGUUAAAUCCCUUUUUCCAUUUUCUUUCUUUAAGUUUCCCUUCUUUGGCUAGUUACAAGUUGUCCAAAACAUUUUAAUUUCACCAAGUGUUCCAUUUAAUUUGAUUUACAGUUUGGUUUUAACAUUACUAUUUAGCAUGUUGGUAGCUCAGUAUCCCUUUUGAUGGUUUCAUCCAAGUUAUUGAUGAUCUAAUCUGUUUCUUGGCAGCCCGAACACCUUUUGGAUGAUGCAGAGUCUGCGACAAACAAACUUGGGGCACAGAGAGCUGAAAAAGAAUCUUUUUUAUUUAGAUCACUUUUAACUUGCAAAGCAUGCUUAGCUUUUGGUUCCGACUGCCCGGUAAGCUUCUGACGUUUUUAUUACCUAAAUACUGCACAGGCCUAAUCUCGUGUAUUGCUGUUUUUCAAAACUAUACUUUAGAGAGGGGGAAAAACUUCUAAAUUACAUACAUGUACAAAGUUGAACAUUUAAGAUUGGUUUUUGUGUGUAGGUUGCAAAUAUCAAUCCAUUGGGUGGUAUCAGGACUGCAAUGAGAAGAAUACCUCCGUCCUGGGAUCACGCUUGGAUGCCAUCAGAGUGCCUCACACUGGAUGAAGCCAUAAAGGCGUAAGCAAUACUCUGAAAUCACUUUCUCAGAUGUACUUGUUUAGUUUGCUUUUGUCUGUUUCUAAUUCUUAGUGUCUGUUCGGUACUUAUAGGAGCAACGCAGUGUUCCUAAGUAUUAGCCUUAGUAAAUAUGGGGCCAGACCUAGCGUAGUGAUGAAAAAAUUACUACCUCAAAUGGUGUGGUAAAUCUCUGUUUGAAAUGGAGAGGGGUUAGUAAAAUUUUUAAAAUUUUAUUUCGGUGAUAUGGACAGUGAUUGGGGGAUGCAUUUCCUCACCCCAAACGUGAUCCUGCCCACGUUUAUUCGAUCAUAUUUGUUCAUUUGUUAAUUGAUUUAUUAAUUUCUUCAGAGAAAGUGUUAGUUAUUUAUAUAUAUUAAUUACUUCAGAGAAAUUGUUAUGAAUAAAAAAAAUUGAAACUAUUUUCGCAUAUGGCAAAAAAAGAAAAAAUUAAAAUAAGCUAUAGAGAAUUUGAUGGAUUUUGCUAUAAUUGUCAAUAGUUUUUUUUUUUUUUUUCUAUAUUUGAAAAUUCCCCAAGUUAUAAUCCUAGGAUAAAUUUGGUUAGUGCUUUUGUUUUGUAUUUGCCACUAAGAAAGAAACUCCCGGGUGUUCCAUGAGAAGGAAAGAGAUUGAAGUAAUGAUUAUGACGAACCUUAGUCCAUUGCUCUUGUGUCUUCGCAACCGUCGUCCCUUUGUAAUUAACUCUACUUCGGGUGCUGUUUUUUUCUUUAGUGAACUCAGGAGGUCUAGACUUUAUAUUUUACGUUUUUUUCCUCCAAAUUAAUGAAAUCAAGGUAUUUGCUUUUAAAAAUUUAAGUAAAUAAACUCAGGCAAAAUUGAAAAAUAAGUUAUUUCUGGCCCUUGGAUAUAUAUUUUCUAUAUAUGUUUUUUUAAAAAAAUUCUUUAAUUUUUUUAAAAUUUAAAGAGGCAGUUUCAAAUAUGGCAGAAAAAGAAAAAGCAAAAUAUAUCCAAUUCUCUGUACCCAUUUAAGUGUCUUUUACCAUAUGUGAAAAUAGUUUCAUUUUGAAUUGUGAUUUUUUUUCUGCAUGAAAAUACAUGUUGGGAGAUAUCUCAGACUUGUUGAUUCUUCGAAAAUAUGGGGUGAGGAUAGAAGUUAAAAACCCCCUUGGGGUCAAGGUCCAAAUCCCAACCUGUCUGUUGUCAUCCCGAUUCGUAAUAUGCACUUGAGUUGCUGCCACUAGUUAACGAUUCAAGGGAGGCAUAGACUUAUUUCUUCUCUUGAUAUACCUGAAAAAUCAGAACUAAUUGUUAAUUGUUAAGCUGGAUACCUUUUGAUUUUUUUUUUUUUUUUCUGUUACUAGAACUGGAAAAUCUUUUGCAUUAGUAAGUAAUGUGCAGGGUUUCAUGUAAGCAUCUCUUUCCUCAAUUCAACUUUCAUUCAAGAACAUUUCACAUCAACCUUGCAGGUAUACAAUAUCCGCUGCUUAUGCAUCCUUUCUUGACAAAGAUCUCGGAUCUCUGUCCCCAGGAAAGCUUGCAGAUUUUGUUAUACUAUCUACAGAUUCAUGGGAUGAGUUCGCAGCUGAAGGAUCAGCUUCUAUCGAGGCAACGUAUACUGGUGGUAUACAGGCCUAUCCUUAAAGGUGCGUGCUUAUAUGCUAAAGAAUGUAUCAGAUCCAAAAGUGAAAACUCACUCCCCUACUCUAACCCUCUGGUUUUUAUCUUGGUAAUAGUUUCUUCUAUCUAUUUGCUGAAUUCAAAAGGCGACAUGCCUCGCCAGGCUAAGGAUCUCAUGUGGCACAGCUGUUGAACCAAUCUCAAAAUCCAAGAGGUACCUCUAACUCUAGUUCUAAGAUAAAUUUGAGCGUAGGGUUACCAUAUCUUAAAUUUUCUUUGACAUAAACACUGUUUGCUGGUCAAUAAUGCAUGUGAAUAUUAACAUGGAAAGCAUGUGGCUAUGGUCGUAAUAGUUCAAGGUUCAAUGCAUGCUAUGAAAUUCACAAUCAGUGCUAUAUUUUAGUUUCCAGCAGUAGCUUGGUUUUCAACUUUUCCAGUUUAGACACUGCCUUCAAUGAUGUUUAAUCAAUGUCAUUUUCAUUGCACUUUUUUUUUUUUUUUUUUUGCUUUGCUAAUUUCUCUAGUAAUUACCCAUUAGCAUACUUUUUGGGCUCAUCAAAUCAGCCCUAGUUAUUAACUGGAAUUUUGCCGAGGACUUUUGUAUUUGUUUGUCUGGAAAUUUCUAUUUAGCUACAGUAUCAGGCUUUUUUUAAAAAAUAAAAAUAUUAAAAAAUAUUGCCCUUUAGCUUUAAUGGUUUAGGUAUCAGAUUUAGGGAGUAGAUAAGAUUAUUUCUUACCUUGGCAUCCAUAUUAAUGUGGCCAAAAACUAAGAGAAAAAGGAAGGUUUUGUUUCAAUAGGAUUUCUUCUAAAUUCCUUAAAUGGAAAUAGUGAACAUCUACCUUGUUGGUAAAAAUUGAAUUAAUUUUUUUUUUUUUUAAAAAAAAAGCUAUUGAUGAUAAACCUAUGAUCGGAUUAGGGUUUUACCUCUUAGAUUUAAAAUCUUAAUUUUAGCCCUUCCUCUCCCAUUAAAGUAUAGAAUCAGUCAUAUCAUUCAAACUUUAUUCCAAAUUAUUAAAAGAAAAACGGGAUGAAUAAUAUUUAUCUACAUGACAUUCUAAAAGAGAGGUUCGUUUUCCAUUUAAACGGAUCACAUAUAAGGUAGGGGACUAGUUGUGAAUUGUGAGGUGUAAUUGUGAGUCAAAUUUUGUAUCUAUAAUGGUUUGGUAAUCGUAAAUAUUCAUAUGACAAAGUUGAAGUUUCAGAAAGAUUAGAUUCCAAAGUUAAAAAGUAGGCAAUAGUGUUGAAACUAAAAUGCAAAUAAUGUUUUUCUCUUUCUUUACUUAUUUUUCAUAUACUCCUAAAGUUUCAAAUUUUUUUUAAAAAUUAAUAGCUAUUAAUCCUGCUUAAAAUACCAUUUUGAUUAAUAAAUUUUAGAUUUCAUUUCAUUUAUUUUAGUUUCUAUAUUUCAAAAUGUUCGGAAAAAAAAAAGAGUUAAAUAGUAAUCGUUUUUUAAUGUAAAAAAAUACAUAUAUGAAUAUGAUUUUAAAAUUUACCGUGAGUGCUAAUAGAUUUUUUUCGGGAAAAGAAUCAACAAAAACAAUUAACUUGUAGGAAAUAAAUUUAAGAUAUGUAAUGAUUAUAUGAUUAAAUUUGAGUAAAUGAAAAUAUAUGAACUAAAAUAAAACAAGUUUGCAAGUACAGUAACUAUAAUUAGUAUUUAAUUAAUUUCAAUAAAAGAAAUUUUAAGAUUUAUGGAAAGUGUUCAAGCAAAAUUUUGAACAAAUGAAUUGGAUUGAAAUUUAAAAUAGAUGGUCUAAAAUGAUUUUUUUAACAACGAGUGAUAAAUACAAAAGUAAAUACUUACUAUUAUUAAUAAAAUUAUUUAAUGUUACAUUUGUGGCAUAGAAAUGUUGUUUAUUGUUUUUGUAAAAUAUCUUGAUGGUUUUCUAAUAUAGUUUCGAAGUAGCAAGUAGUGUGUUUUGACUUGACCUGUUCUUUUUUCCAAAUUAUUCUUUGAAAUUAUAUGGUGCCCAUCAAAUCGGGUAAACAGAGUAUCUGAAAUGAACUUUAUUGUCGUUUCUGAAACACAAAUUUCAUUGUUCAAUUAAAAAUCAAAACUAUAAGUUGGCUCUGUCUGUUUGAAAGAAAAGAAAUGAAAAAAAGAAAAAAAAAAAAUCUAGAUAUGAACUUUAUCUUUUUAGUGAGUGUCAAUCAGUUAGAUUUUUUUUUUUUAUGUGUCGAGAUAAAGAAGAAAAAAACGACUCUUGAUUAAUUUCCAAUGUGACAUGUUUGACACAAAAUAUGUGAUUGUUUAUCAAACUUUUGCUUGGUUGUUUUCCAUUGAGCUUUUAGAAUAAGCUUCCAACUUUAGGUUGGAGAGAUUUUUUGGAUCAUUUAAAAGCCGAUCAGAUUGGCUAUAAAAAAACCUUGAAUAGGUCUCCAACCCAAUUCAAUUCUCAAAUUUUGGGUUGGGGUGAAGUGGGUUUAGAGGAUUGUUUUGUUUGUCUUAUUAAAUUUAAAUAAUUUAAUUUAUCUACAAUACUUCAUAAGUAAAAUCUCAUAAAACUUGAAUGUUAAAUAUAAACUAUUCAUGAUAUAUAUUAUAAACUUAAACUUUAAACAAAGAUAAGCAUCAUAACCAUUGUAAAAGAAAAAUGUUAAAAAAGUUAAAACACUAAAAAAUAUAGCUCAACUCAAUUAAGUAACAGAAAAAAUUAACUCAAUCCAACCCAAAAACAAAAUUAAACCAACUUGACCUUUACAAUUUUGAUUGGAUAGUCCAUAUUAUAUGAAUUAUUGGGUCAUUUGAAUACUUUUUUUUCCAAAAAUAACAUUGAAGCGUUCUUAAAAACUACACAAAAUCACAAGUUGACACUCUUGUAUAAACACAGUCCUUUGAAACAAUUCUAUAAAGUUUUCACAAAAAGAAACUUGAAGUCGAAGGGCACCUUACAAUUUUCGUAAGCUUUUAAUUUCUUAAAACUAAAGCAUUAAGGUUAUGUUGAAUUUUUUUUUCCUCUUUUAAUUGGGUUUGUUUUCUCGCCAUUUUUUUUUAAAGAAACAUUUAAAUUAUAAAUUACUUUUUUUAAAAAAAACAGACAGGUUUUUAAUUAAAUUUUAUAUUUAUAUAUGAAAAAUAAAUUUAUAAAUACACCCUUUUCACCAAUAUAUUCAUUUGUUCUUUUCAACAAACUUUUUGGUUAGAUAAAUAUUAAAGUCUAAACAGAGGAGUCUUUUUAAGACGUAUUUCUUAUUUGAAGCUUAGCUAAGGAUUCAAUUUUAAUAGAGAUGAAUGUAUUAAAAAAGCAAGUUUGCUUUUUUAGAAGUCUAGAAAAUGAAAAUUAUAUGUUAUCAAAGAAGGCCAAAUCAUUGUCAACUUAGUUGAUGAGUACAAUUUUUAGAGGGGAAGAAAAGGUAAAGGGUGGUAUGUAGUAGUGGUAGGAUUAGUUUAGAUGAAAACAGAAAAAAGAAACAAAAGAAUAGUGUUGGGAUUAUUAGGAAGAGCGAAGACCUAAAGAGUUGGAGAAGUAGAAUAGGUGGUGGUUAGGUUAGUGUUGGUAUGGUACAUUAUUUCAGUCUUAGCCCAUUGGCAUUUUGCUGUUGAAAUUUGAAAAAAUAUAUAUAUGGUUGGUUUUGAUUUGGACUAUUAUUAUUCCUCAACCCUAAACCCACUUCUUUUUUACCUUUGAAUUUACUUCUAUAUGCCUAUUCCCUUAGCUUUAUACUAACUUUUACCCUACUCUCCUCUCUUUUUCUAUCACUAUCUCUACCUAGUUUCAUUACCUAUUUUCUUUUCUUCCAAUCUAUACCUAUCUUGAUAUAUAUAUAUAUAUAGUCUAUAAUCAAAUCAAAGUUUUCAUUUUUGUCUUUCUUUUUUACUUCCGUUUUCUCUUCAUUUUCAACAUUCUUGAUUGAAACCUUGACCAAUGGUUUGGAGAGAGAAUAGGUGGAUGAAAAUGAUGUAGUCGGAUAUAAAAUCUUUUUUGUUGCAUACUUAUCUUUGUUAUCCUAUUUCAUGGCCUUGUUUAUAAAAAUGCGUUCUGUUAGCGUUAACACAUCAUAUGUGAAACAUGUAGGGUUGGAUUGUUAGUUUAGUUUUUGUAACUUCCAUAUUUGUGUUUAGUUGAUAUUUGAACUUUAUAACAAAAAAAAAAAAAAUUCUUAAAUCCAUAUCUAAACGUUCCUAAUCUUUACAAAUUUUCUUUUUAAUUCAUAAAUCUACUAGACACAAACUUAAAAAAACAGUCUCAAUAAAUGGAAUAAUCCAUGGUAGCUCGAACUAUCAUACGUGUUGUUUUGUAAAAUCAAUCAAGGCACAUGUAAGUUAGUCCGAGCAAUAUCAAUAAAAAAAGAAAAAAAAGAAGAAAAACAAGACACGAAAUUAAAAGGUUGAAUCCGUGAGUUGCAAAUAGUACUUUUAGAAGUAAAAAGUAGUAAAAUUGCUAAUAUAGGAUCUUAAGAAUGGAUAGUAUAUUCAUCUUUCUCGAUUAGAAAGGCAUUCAAAAGUUUGGGGAAAUGGCACUUAAACCACUUCCUCCUCAAGAUAUACACACAUAUUAUAAGAAUUUAAUGAUUGGAUUAGAUUUUUCAACCACCGAACUAAAUUAAUAAUUUGAACUUUCAGAAGAAAAAAAAAACUAAAUAAUAGCUUCAAAACUAAUUCAAAUUGGGAUUACUUUCCCAUCAAUUAAUCAUUAUUAAUAGAAUUAUAUUUUAUAUUAAACCAAUUCCCCUUGAACCCAUUUGAAAAUUUAUGUAUAUUGAUUUCAUGGUUGCUGCUAAAAUUCUUGGUCGCAAUCAAUGUUCUGCACCCCUCAUCACCGGGGAUACGGUGGGUUCCUCUUUUUAUUUAUUUAAAAAUACUAAUAUUUUUUAAAAUAAUAAAAUAAAUUAAAAUAUUUACUCUUUUAUCAACCUCACUCUAGAAGUAUAUCAUUAGCUAUCAAAUGUAUCCAAUAUUUAUUAUUUAGAAUAUGAAUGUUUGCUAUAACUUAUAAAUAUUUUGUCAAAUUUGUUAUUUUUGACAAUUUUUUUUUAAAAAAAUAUUAUUUUAUUGUGAGUUAAAAGUAGAUAAAUUUGAAAACAUAGGGAUACAAUUUGUAUGCAUUAAAUUAGUUGUAUUUGGUUUUGUGAACUUAUAAAAUGAAAUUAGUGUAAUUUCAAAAUUGUGAUAUAGGCUAGAGGUGGAGCCUUCUUAAUUUGAAACUAAUAAAUGUUGGGUGGAGAGGGAGGAGGGAGGAGGGAGGAGGGAGGAGGUAGGAGGUAGGAUGGGGUUAACCCUUUGUUAUCAAAUCACUCUAAACUCUAAAUUCUAAACAUGAAUUUGGUUGAUUUUUUCUUUUUCCAUUUUCAAAAGAGGUUUAAAAAAAGUGUUCAAAGUUUCUAUUAUAUUUCCAUUCAUAUCUUUUAUAUUUGAAAUCGACGUUGUCAUUAUUUUUAUAAUCGAAUAAUCACAAAUUAUUGAAACAUUAAUACUAAUAAUCUAAAAAUAUCUUCUAUGCUAGGGAGAGAAAAAUACUUUGUUGUUUUCACAUCUUAAUCGUACAAUAUAAUUUUGUCACUCCUAUUAGUCUAUACUAUUUGAGAUGUCAUCAUUUUUCUAUUUGUUUACCUAAAGAUGUCUAUUCAAUCUAAACUUUAAUUAUAGUAACAAUAACUUCAGGUUCUUUAUUUAAGUUCUUAAUUAAUGAUUAGUUUUAUUGCUUAGAACAAUUUUAGCAAUGAAUUUGCAUCUUCAUAAAUUUUUUUAUGUUUAUUUAAUUUUGGUUCAAAUAGGGUUUUCAUACUUAAACUUGAUCUUAUAUUUUCAUAUUUUGUCUUGAAUGUUUAAAUUUGUUUUGUUUCUUAGUCCCUUUUAAAUGUUUUUUUUCCCGUAAGUUUUAGACACAUUGCUUGUUUUUAAAAAUCUUUUACCCAAAUAUAAAAACAAAAAAUGUGGCAUCGUUUGAUUGUUUCCCUGCAUGACAUUUAUGGUUUUAGGGCAUCAAUUUUUUUCAGUAGAAUUUCUUUAAUUAAAGUUCUCACCCAUCAUAUUUCUUUCUAAAAAAAAUUACAUUUUUAAAUAUAACAAAAUGAAUCAAAAUAUUUAUAAAAUAUAAUGAAUUUUUAUAUCUAUAUUUGACAGACUAUACAUACGUUGUUGAUAAUGAUGGAUAGAAAUUUAUUAAUUUAUUAAUAUGGUUAUGUCGAAUCAGUUGAUGAUAUAUGGAUUAAUGUGUAAUGUGGUUAAUUCCCUAAGUAGAAAUUUAUAAAUAGAAAAGAAAAAAUCAAUAAGGCUUUCUUUCAAGUUAAUUACUCGUUUGAAACGUUUUCGGUUUAUUAGUAAAGAAUCCAUUAUGAGUUGGAAUCACUUUCGGUAAAAUAAUAAGAAAUUGCAGAAGCUUAUUAUAUAUGCUUCUCUCUGAAAAUUCUUUUGGGAUUGUGUAUGGAAUCUCUACUUUUUGGUUUAAAAUAAAUAAACAAACCACAUAGCCUUAAUAAGAUGAAAACUCAUAAUUGAAAAUUCACUUUACAAUAUUUGAGGUAUAAAUAAAUAAAUAAUUGGGUAAAAACGGUGCUUAAAAUUAUAAUUUUAGUAAAGGUAUAAAUUAAAAAAAAAAAAAAAAAAAAAAGAAGAAAAAUCAUGAAAAUGAAAGCGGUUAAUUGUUAUUGAAGAAGAAGAAUCCAAGUAGUUUGAUAUUAUAUAUUGUAGCAAUGAGAAUUAAGAAAAAAAAAAAAAAAGAUGUUAUGGAGUAAUUAUUAUGUAAUAAAAAUGUGCCCAUUCCUCCACAAGUGACCCAUAAGAAAAGAAAAAAAAAAGAAAAAGGGAUGCUCUUAGAGUUAGAGGGUGGUAUGUAAAAAAGGUAAAGAGAAGUAAGUUAAAUUAUAAUAUAUAUGUAUAUAGGGAUAAUAGGGGGGCUAUGGUUGUAGAGUUGUAGGGUUCCAUUAUAGAGGUUUAGGUGUGGUCCAAAGUCUAUAUUGAGAGUUGAUAGGGUGACACACUGUUUGGGUAACAUUUGGAUGAAUGUAGGUUUGCUCAUAACCACACUUUCCAUUCACUCUCUCCUUUUCUUCUUCUUCUUCUUCUUCCUCCUCCUCCUUAAUUACUUUUUCUUUAUAACAAUUAACUCAUGUGUUUUCAGCCAUGCCAUCUGUCUUUUCUUUUUUUCCUUUUUUUCCUUUUUUUUUAUUUCUAACCUCUCCCCACUUCUCUAAUUAUUUCACCAUUCAUUUUUUUUAAUACACUAAAUCAAAUCAUUAUCAUAUUUUAUCUAAAACAUGUCUACGUUCCUUUAUUUUAUUUUAUCACGUUUAUUUUAUUUUAUCACGUUUCAAACAACGAGUAUAAGACAUUAACAGAUCUAAUUUAUGAAAAUGGUGUAUUUUGGAUAUUUAAUUAUUUACGAUUGAAAAUAAGUACGUGAUAUAAACUCUUUUUAACUCUAGAAGUGCUACUAUUAUAUUUUUGUAAUAUUCUUUCUUGAUGUAACGAACGUCGCUAACCUAUUAUUGUUGAUGAUUUAUGUAAAUCCAUGUGUCGAUUAUCUUCUAUUUUACAUUUUUUUUUUUUUUUUUGUAUUUCUUGUUUGUUAAUUUCAUUACAAAAACAGUUAGUAUAUAUCAAUUAAACUUUGUAUUUAUAAGAUAAGAAAGAAUAUAAUGGUUUUUGAAACUUUGAAUGUACAAUAUAUGUAUAGAUAUUAGAUGGUUUAUUAGUAUAGAAUUAUUAUACUUUUUAUAUUGAAAUUAAUAGUAAACAUGAUGUUAACAUGGUACUAAAUACAUUACAGCAUUCUAUAAAAUGAAUUAUAAUUAUUGGGAAAAUUAAUUCCCAAAGGUUUGACAUUGCCAAUUCCAAAAAUAAAAUAUUAACUCUUUUUAACUAUAUGAAUUUUUUUUAAUCUAUUUUACAUGGAAAUUCACAUAAAAGCAAAAUUUGGAUCCCAUUCCAACUUUAGGUGAGUUGAAGAAUAAAGCUUAAAGAAUAGCUUUUAUUUAUUUACUAAUAUUCAAGUAAAGAUAAAGUAACUAAAAAAAAGAUUGUAUAUUUUGAAGUACUCUGAAAAAUAUAUUGACAUGCUAUAUGAUAUUUAAUGUGAAGAAACGGUGCAUAUUUUGAUUAUAUUUAACACUAUUUAUAUAUAUAUAUAUAAACACUUCUUACACUAAAAAGCUCACAUUUUCCCCAUAUUUUGUUGCCAAUGCUUUAUCCUACACUAUAGCAAUUUGCUACUGUAUUAAAUAAAUACAUAUAAACUAAUUUGUAGAAAAGUAUGUAAUGUUGAUGUAGUUGUACAAUUCUUGAAAUUUGGCCAAACGAGAUAACAUUCAAAUGUAUAAAACCAACUGAAAUAAACCUAAAUUAUAGUUAGUAAAUUUGGAACAUUGACGGAAUUGAAAUAUAUUUGAAAAAGAUGCAUAUUUAACACUAUAUGGACUAGCAAAAGAUGAUUCUUUCAAGCUUAGUUAACUUCCAUGGUUUUGUACAGAAAAGAAAAGAAAACCCUAUUUAUACAACAAAACAACAUAAUAGAAAAGUAGAUCACAAUUAGAUCAAAUCUUUUGUUGAAUUAAUAAUAAUUUAAAAGUAAGAAAAAAAAUUAUUUAGGAUGAUUACAUUUGAUGUAAGUGGUAGGCAAAAUGAACCACCCUCUAUUAUUAUAUUAUAUUGUUUACAUUUUACCAUCCGAAGAAAGAAAUAUGAAAAAGUAUUGAUUUGAUUGGACUUCUCUUUAAACAAUAAUUCUUAAUAAUUAAACUUCAUUUAAUCCUCCCCAUAAUAAAGUAAAACAUUAUACGGUAAAAAAAAAAUGUGGAAUGGAUCCUUAAUUAAACUAUGGAAUUCCUUAUCUAAUAAAAAAAAUUAAUUGAUGUAUUAUUAUUAGAAAAUCUAAAUUAUGAAUCUCCAAACAAUCAAAUUAGUUAAUAACACUUCUAAGGUAGAAAUAAAAUAAUAUUAUAAUAGGGGUUAUUUUUAAAAAGAUAAAGAGAGAGAGAAAAAAAGAUUAAUGCAGAAUUGAAAUAGCCGAAGCCGAAGCCGAAGCCGAAGCCGAAUACAUUAUAUUUUUAUUAUAUUUAUAGUUAUUCCCUUUCUUCCUCACAAACCUAAAUUAAACUUUGUCACAGCAACAGUUUGAAGAAUCAUUCAUUCCAGUUUCCAUUUUUCAUUUUCCAAUUUUCAAUUUCCAUUUUCCAUUUCCAUUUCCAUUCCACUCAUCUUCAUCAUCAUCAUCAUCAUCAUCAUCGUAAUCUUCUUCUUCUUCUUCCUCCUCCUUCAUCUCAUCAGUCAUCUGUUACUGUGAAAUGAAACAGAAUUCCACUUCAUUACACACAAUUGCUUUUGCUCUAAUAAAAUUUUCUUCUUUUUCCCAACACUGCAUAAUCCCCACAUCCCAUAACAACUAACUCUCUCUCUCUCUCAAUUUUCAUCAUAAACACACCCUCUUCUUGGCUCUUUCUAUCUCAACCUCUCUUCUUCUAAUUUCCUCUCAUCACCUUUUUUUUUCUUUUUCUUUUUUUUUUUUUCUUUUUGAGCUUUUUCCAAUCAACAAAAUGUUGGGUCUCCGAGAUGUUCUGUUUAUAGCUCCCACACCCUCUUCUCUUCACCAACAGACUCAAAUCAUUUCUUCUGAUCAUCAUCCAUCUCUUCCUCUUCCCUCCUCCACCGCUCUCGGCGUUAGCGUCGGCAUUUUCCCCCUUCUCGCUGCAACCCCAUGUCUCCCUCCCUCCCAGCCCCCGCCAAAUAAUCACACACCUGACGAUGUUACCGAUCGUACUCGCACUUUCGACAAUCUUAAGAGAACCCAAGAUUUUGGCUUUGGGAAAGGAGAAUCCUUGAUCGCCGGUCCCGGAAAUAAUGGCUCCGACGAACAUGUGAAAGGCGAUGCUGGGGAUGGCUCUAUGGCUGUAUGUAGGGACUGUGGAAACAGAGCAAAAAAGGAGUGCGAGUAUCGGAGGUGCAGGACUUGUUGCAAGGGACGUGGGAAUCAUUGCUCUACGCACGUGAAGAGCACGUGGGUGCCUGCGGCUCGCCGCCGUGAGCGGCAGAUGUUGGUGGUUAUGGACGGCGUUGCCACUGCUAGUGGCGACGGAGGGUCUUCCGGUUCUUCUUCUGCUGGUGCUAAAAGGCCUAGAGUUUUGAUUCCUUCACAGAGUGCUGCCGCGGCCGCCGCUGCUUCCACUUCCAAUGCCACAACUCCCCGGAGUUUUGAAACAACCUCUAGCCAUCAAGGUAAAUCUCUCUCUAAAUCUCUUUUUCCAUUCUUCCAUUUUUGUUUUCUUGUGCUUCUCAACGAAUUCCGAAUCAUGAGCAGAAAUUAAUGGGAUAUCUGUUUACUCUGUUUCUUUCUGUUUAAUGAUUUGGUUACUUGUUUCUACGUGUAUAAAUUUGUAAAAUUUUUAUGAGUAGUUUUUAUUUUAGUUCUCUUUGAAGAUCUUGCAGCAAAUUUAACGAAACAUGUUCAUUAGGUAUGUUGUUCGAAAACUUACCAUCCUUUCAUGUUAUAACUCUGUUUUUCUCCUCUCUCUCUCUCCUUUCUCCAACAAGGAGGGAGUGACUUAUAUAUAAAAGUAGAAUUUAGGACCGUUUGUAAAUGGCAUUUCGAGUGCUUAAAAGAUAAGUUUUUGUUUUUUUAAGUGUUUGUGUUUAGUAAGGAGCUUAAGUAUUUAAAAAGGGGUUCAAGUGUUUAGAAAGCCAUUCCAAACAGGCUUUGUGCUGUUAAAACAUGCACAUCUAUAUGUAUUCUAACUGUGUUUUUUUAGCAACAAGAUCAUUUUCUAAACCCACCUCUUGGAAUUCUCCUCACUUUGAAACCAGAUGCAAGCUUCAAGAAGUCAUUACCAGGGCAUGUUCGAGCUCCAGCCGUGUUCAGGUGCCAUAGAGUGACUGCCAUUAGCAGUGGUGAAGGUGAGUUAGCUUACCAAGCAACAGUCAAUAUUGGUGGUCAUGUCUUCAAAGGCUUCCUCUAUGAUCAAGGAGCUGAUGACAAAAAUGCAUUCCCAUCUAUUUCACAUCUCCAUUUGGACAGUGGUAACCACCACAGGGAAUAGACAUUCCUUCUCUUCAUUCUUCUCCAAUUCUCCCUCUGAUCACUCUUCUCCUCCUGAAAACUCGGUCUUGACCACUUGAAAAAAUAUGAUAUCUUUGCUAGAUUUCAGAGGUCUGUUAUGUUAUCUGUAAGUUUCAUAUAGUUGUUAUCAUGGUGGUAAUGCAAUGAAUCUUGCACUAAAUAGAACACAAAAGUGCAUAGUUGUAAUAGGAAUUUUCUGUUCUAGCCUUAAGCUGGGUUUAGUGUAAGAUUUAUCAAGUUCAAAGAUAGUUGGAUAUUGAUCUUCUGUAUAUUGCUUAGAAGAUGUGUAACUUUCAUCUAUCCAAAUAUCUGCUGAAACAAGAGUUAGCUUGUCUUAUUUCAUAGCAGCUGUAUUAUAUGUUGGGAUACAAGAGUUCAGUCUCUUCUUUUACUGUCUAUCUCAAAGAGUUUUACGAAACAAAUGAAAUCGUUCAUCUGAGUAAGUUCUUGCGAAAUUCCACGAUGGUGAAACAGGCAAAAUGCAUGUAAUGCUUCCUCUUUCUACAUUACUGUCAUUUGUCUUCAUCUUUGAACAUUUUCAGUGAUUUGGAUCGUCUCCAAUUAUGAGAUGGGUUUCAUUGAAUGGAAGUCAUUUAUUUGAUUGAGACGAAUUUGAUGGUGAAUAUGUAGGGAGAACCAGAUAUAAGUAAAGUCGGGACCCCACAUGACACGAACAAUAUAAGCAGAAGAUGAAAGUUAGUGAAGCGUAGUUCCAUUCUCAUCACAUUUUUAGCAAAAAAGAAAGCCAGAGAGCAAUGGAGAUGAACACUAAAAACUGAAAAGUGGGAAGGAAAGAGCAAAGCAGUGUAAGAAUUACCAAAACUUGAGAAGAGUUAAAAGAGAAAAAGAAGCAUUGAUGAUUGAUGGAGAAGAGAAAAGGAUGAAUAUGAAAACAGUACCAAUUGAGACUCAGUUGUUAAAGGAGAGGGAUUUUCUUCUUCCCAGAUGACAUUAAGAAAAAGGUAUGCAUUAAAAGGGAUGAACAAAAUGAAUAGGUGAGACCAAUAACCCCCACCCCCUUUUUGUCUUUUCAUAUAGGAAUUGUUAGGCCUAAGUGAAUGUGUAGGAGAUUGAGUCCAAUUACAUAUCAUUGCAAAUGCCAAAAACAGAUGUGACAAAGUAGUGGUAAGGCAAAAACAUGCACUUUUAUUAUAAAGAUUAAGGGGGUUUCAACUUGAAUAUAUAUUAUAUAUAUGCUUUUGUAGGAAGGAAAAACAAACUUAAAACUCAUAUUUCAUAUUUGACAUAAUCUUCUUAACCUUUUUACAAAGGAAGCUACAUUUGCCUGUAAAAUAGUAAAUUAAUAUAUACAUUUGUCCUCUUCCCCUUUUAGAGCUAUUAUAUUUUUCAUACACUCAUAUGAUUUAACAUAAAAUUAUAUGAGAACAUGCACUCCUCUGGGUAGAUAUCACAUCAAAAAGACAACUUCUCUUGUUAGAUAUACACAACAUUUUUCAUAUGUUUUACACAUGAUAUGAACUGCUCUUUUUUAAAUAAAAUAAAAAUGAAGAGAGAGGGUUUUUUUUUUUAUUUCCAACAAAAAAUUGUGUCAUUUUACAUCUCUUAAAUUCUUCUAACAAAACAAACAAAUUAAUUGUAGGUUGUCUCCCUUGUUCAUGACCUAACCCCUCUUCCUUUCUUUUUCAAAAUUAGGUUUUUUUGCUCUCUCUGUCUAUGUAGAGCUAAGAUGGGAGUAGAGAGGGGCCUCCCCUACUCACUCAAUUAGUCUUCUUUACUUUUCCUUUUCUUUUUCAUUACACUCUUUGUGAGGACAGAUGAGAACAUUUUUUUUAAAGUAGGUUAGUAGGAAGAAAUAAAAGAUAUCUGUUUUUCUUUACACACACAUAUAUAUAUUUCUUUAUACCAAAUAAAAGUUACCCGAAAAUAUAAAAAGAGAAUAAAAUUCUAAGAAAUUCAUUAGAUACUCAAAUGUUGGAAGGUUGAUUGACCAUUAACCUAUAAUUCGAUAUCCAACAAGUUUCUUCAAUCAACCUAUACUUCAAUAUCCAACAAAUUUUUUGAUUACCAAAUGUUAUUAGGUUAAAUCGGUUGUUCUAUAAGAUUGGUCGAGGUGUGUGUACGUAUGUUGAUUAGGAUACUCAAGAAUAAUAUAUAUAUAUACACACACAUAUAUAUGACAUGUAUAACUUACCUUUUUUGUUAUUUACAUUGAAAAGGUAUCCCACCAAUGCUUUAUAAAAAAGAAAACUAUUACUCUAAAUAUAUAAAAAUAAAAUAUUCCCAAAUCCAAUAGAAAAGAAAAGUAUGUUCGAUAUAUAUAGAGAAAAGAAAAGGCCAAGUGAAAUGAAGAACAAGGUUGAAAUGCAUUACCCUAAAUAAUGUUUUUCAUUACUUUUUUGGUAAUGUGAAGUAUAAGUAGUGAUUCAAUUGCAUAGUAAAGUUAUGAACACAGAAUAGUCUCCUGAGAAUUUGAACCACAAAUGGACUAAAAAUGAGAAAAAGAAGAGAGAAUGAUAACAUUAACACAGAGGAAUGUAAAAAAAUGAAAGGGUGGAGAAGGAAAUAGAUAUAGUUAAUUAGUUUUACUAUUGUGAAAGGCUUUUUCAAACUUGAGACAAGAACAUGAAUACAAAAUAAUAAUAAUAGAAAGAAUAGAAUAGAAACCAUGUUACAACUUUAGUAACAGUUGGGUCUUCAAACUUUAGUUAAUAAAUAAAUUUACAAAUUAGUAACAUUUGGGUGAGGUGAGGGUAAUAACUCUCAUCUAUAACUUUCUAGAUCAUAUCACAAUUUUCUAAUAACCCUAACUUAGAAAAAAAAUACAAUGCAUAAGUGGCAAAGCUCUACAUGGUUACCUUAAUUUUAUACACCAAAUGGUUGCUCUUUCUUUGUUUUUCCGCGGCCAAACGCUACGACUCUAUCAAAAACUGAUAUCAUUUCUCACAACGGACCGACUGUACAAGGAUGGCCACUGUCUGCAAGUUUUGAUGAAUUGGGUCAGUAUAACAACUUCUUCAAGUGUCUUCUACAAAAAUUCUGAAGAUGAAAUCUCGAAACCGUUUCGAAUAUUGCUUUGGAUCGACAGCAGAUAUUGACGACGGAUCAUACUGAAACGAUUUAUAAGCAUGCUCAAGUUUCUUGCUGAUAUCAUAGUCUUGUAGUAUGUCGAUUAUACCAAAGAAAAUGAUCACAUCAUACAACUCCCCAGUUGGUUCUCCUACUAGCUGAGCUUCGGGCUCUCCCUGUCUCACUGUCCGUUCUGCCCGUGCUGGCAAAUUGAUGCCUAGACUAAUGGAAGCCCACCUGAAUAAGUAAAUGGUCAGACUUCAGAAUAAUGAUUGUCAGGGAAUGUCAGCCGCAAGCUAUCAUAAUGAAUUCAAGUUUGUUUUGGUGAUGAUAUUGAACUUUAAAACAUCAAUGUUAUAGCUAAUAAACUAGUAGAAUGAACGGAAACCAGGCUAUACUCUUGAACAUUUCACUGAAAAAUAAACAUUUACAUGGUAAAGCAAAGUACACGUGUUUCAUCAGCAAAAUUUUCACAAUCACAGAUAAUUGAGUUUCUCGCUAUAUUACAGCGGUUGCAUGCAAAGGUCUUUAGACGAUUUCAGAAAUUGAAUAUCAAUAGUUCAUGAGUCCAUUCUACCUGGCAGAGUCUUGUUCCUUGUCUGCUCUUAACUGACCAUCUGCUUCGUAGUCAGGAUUACUUCCUGUGAUGUACAUUUUCGAAUAUCAGAUGUUUUUUUGUUGAAACAAUGAUUUAAAUAAGAAGCUCAAGAUACUCGAAUCAAAUAAACAGCAAAAACCUGAGUGAUGGCUACCGGGUGUGCUCACUUCCCGAUAUGAAGUUUCUUGGAAGUGAAGACCAACUAAUAGACUGUAGUCCAUGAUUCUCUCCUGUUCAAGAAAGUCACAAUCCUUGUCUACUUGCCUGCAUUGAAACACAAUGGAAAAUAUCAACGAGAGGUGUAAACUGAGGAAACAUCAAAUAGAAUAUUGUCCAUAAUAUUUGUGUGUGGCCACUGAUUUUUUCUUCUUCCAUUCCUAGUAAUGAAAGUUUUAAUUUUCAUUUGAAAGAAAUAUUAAAUAUGUCAUAUGAAGCGUUGCUAAAUGUAGAGAUUUUUCUCAUUCUUUUUAGAAGUGUGACCGACUAAAUAGUUAUUUAUUUCUUUAUUUUGUCUUCGUUAUAGUGUUAAGAAAAUGUUGCCAUUUUAUAUUACAUGAUACUACAAAUUACAGUUCAGAUAAAUUUUAACUUAGCUCCAGGUAUGAGUUCAGAUGUAGAUUCGUUUGCUGACUCGAAGGUGAUCAGGGAGCAACGGAGUGAGAUACAAAUUCUUUUAUCAUGAACAAAAAUGAAUAGCAAACAACCGGUAAGGAAAAAUGUUAAUAACUUAUACCUACAAAAUUCUUGGAACCAAAUCUUCUGCAACCGGAAUAUAUAAUUAAGGUCAAGAUCUUUAAGGGUUGUCGUUCCAUCGAUUUCUGCCUCUGGUUUAUCAGUUAUACGGCCGUGGGAAGAACCUUUCAAGUCAAAACGCCUGUGGAUUGUGUACUCGGAACAAAAUAAAUUUCCCAUUAUGACAAAUCGCACCUGUAAAUCAACAAAAUCUGUGAACUGAAGGAUCCAUAGAAACCAUUGUACUGCUUUAGUAUCCUUGUAUACCUUCUUUUGUGAAGUCCCAGUUAAUCUCACACAAUGAAGACCAUAAAAUUUGGUGACGAGGGUAUUUUCAAAGGACCGAACGUGCUUAUAGUAGGCUGGAAGCAUCCUCAAGAGAACCUGCAUGUAUCUUGGCCUGUUCAGAUUGGAAUAUAUUCAACUCACAGAAACGCAUACAUGUACUCGGAAGUAGCAAAGCCUAGGAUAGAUGCAACAAGCAACAACUGAACCACAAAAGUAUAUCAUCGAAUCGAGCUUUCAAUAACGGCAUAAAGAUUGCAAGAAAGUACGGAGAACUCAACAAGAUAACCAAAUUCACAUUAACGAGUUCAUUAAGGUUAGGGAACCUAAGCUAAUCGUGCAAGAACAACUUCAGAUCAGAAGUUCUAAAAUGCCAAAGGAUGUUGAAACUUUCUUAUGUAGGAAAGCUUAUAAUUUUAAGCAGAGAUAAAACUAAAAGGGAAUCCCAAUUUGAGACAGCUGAGAGAGAAGACAGGACUAACUUUCACUUCAGCCUUCCUCAUGGUUUUAAUCAUGUAUCUGUCAUCAUGGGUUAAGUAAAAGAAACUCCCACUUUUUCCAGGGGAGGAGAGUUCUCGAAGAGCAUCGUUUCCACAUAUAGAUAGCAUGUAAUCAGCUGGGUCCACCUUGAACAGUUUCCUAAGAGUCCUGAAAUACAAAUUUGUGAACUAAUAAGACAGUGCCAUAUUCCAAUACAAAAAUCAUGACAAUAAAAUCAAAGAGUUUCAUCUGGCAUUCGCUAAGAAUUAAACAUUGCAAUCCAGCAAUAAGGCUUGCUCUCCUGUUCUAAUUUGAAAGAAUGUCUUUCAAAAUGUUCCUUCCAUUUAAAUUAUUUGAGAGAUCACGUUGCUGAUUGAGCAAAACGUUUGUUUAGCAUAUUAAGCCUAAAAACAAUUAAAGAAAUGCAGAUUGCUAAAAUUGUUCACUUAAUGACAAACCUGAAGACAACAGGACAGUAGUCCUUCCAUCUGAAGUCGGAAGAUUGAUGAGGUGGUGUAUACUUGGAUCCUUCAGGUGGAAAUUUUGUCCACACUUUCUCCUUGGGAUCGAAAGCCGAAGACUUCAGAUCAAGGGAUGUUGCUGGAGCAGGCCUCCCAACAGAAUGCCUGUGCUAUGGAACAAAAAAAUCACUAAGUUGAAAUGAAUACAUUGGCAAUUAAAUAGACAUUUCUCAUAUGUAAAACAUGAAGCCUCAUUGUGGUAGAGUAGCUUCAAACGACAGGUUCCAUAUCAUUGAUACAAAUCAACGUGCCCCAUGAUUUAUCUAUAGAGUAAAAUUCUUUCUACACCAUUCGUUCUGAACUUCUUGAACAAACUCGAUGCAAUAGGCUACAUGCGUAUCUCAGAUAAUAUUGGUUGAAGGAGUAGAAAAGGAGAAAUAAGGUUAGACUACAGCAUAAGUCAAGGAAAGAAUUCUUAAAUCAUUUAUACCUGAUCCCCAGCUGCAGAUUUAGCAUGAGCUCAUAGUUCUUGUGUCCCUUUGAUAUUGUAAUGCCCUGUCUCUUUGCUGGCUGAAAUCUCAAAUUUGAUUGCCUUUUCCCUUUGCUGUCUAAAUCUUGGAGCUGAUGAGUUCCUAUCCCAUUUCUAGAACUCGCUUCGUUUGAACCAUCAUUCAAUGAUUCAAAACUAGAAUUGCUGACUUUGCCAUCAACCGAUGUUCUUCUCAGUCUCCUAUUCCCAUCAUUGCCUUUCUUUGAAAUUGUUUGCUUUUGCGGAGAGUCAAGGUCGAGCCCGGACCAACUUAUCAUCUUCUGAGAGGGAUAGAUCAAAAUCCUUUCCCCUGAACAAAGUACAAAAUCAUUCAAAUACUCAGCAAAAAUCUCCUGAGGAUCGGAGCUCAUUUCAGUCUCAGAAGAAUCAGAUGGAUAAAAAGUUCCAGUCUGCUCUGUAGGAUCCUUACUCCAAACACCAACAUAACAACUCCCAUCAGCCCAUCUAAAAGUUCCAUUACCUUUAGGCAGCCCAUCUUCCCAACAGCCAUCAUACCGAUUCCCAUUGUUCCAAAUCAUAGUCCCAUUGCCAUUGAUCUUCCCAUUCUUCCACUGUCCAAUGUAAUGAUUCUCAUUCUUCCAUUGAUAUCUCCCCUGUCCAUCCUGAAACCCUCUACGCCAUUCGCCCUCAUAAUAAUCCCCAUUGGCAUAGUUUUGUGUGCCUUGUCCAUGUUUCAAAUUCAUGACCCAACAACCCCUAUAGGUAUCCCCGGAAGAACCAGUGUAAGUACCUUUGCCAUCCAUGUAGCCGCUUUUGAAAUCACCUUCAUAAGUGGCCCCAGAAGGCCAGCUGAAUUUGCCCUUCCCUAAGGUCUUCCCCUUGUACCAUUCACCAACAUACAUACAACCAUCGGUCCAAAGGUACUUUCCAUGGCCAUGGGGCAUGUUGUCCAUCCAUUGCCCUGUGUAGAAAUCGCCAUUGGGGAUCGCUUUCUCCGCAUGAUGGAGCUCACCGGGGCCAGGCUCGUCGUCGGCAGGGGCAACGGACAUUGCUGCAAAUAUGCUAUUAGCCCUCUUCUUCGCUGAGUGUUGUGUUUUUCUCACAGUUGCUUCCCAAGCCUUGACGAUUCCAGCGUAUUCCUUGUACAUUAUCACUCUGAAACGCCUCUACCUUUACCCCUUUGUCGCACUAUCGAUGUAUUUUCUACUCUUUAUGUCUUUUCUUCCCUCCCUUCCUCACUCCCUUCCCCCAUUUUCACCAGAAUUAGAGAAAACCCAGAUCAGAAAAAAUCGGUGUAAUCGAAUUCUUGGCCUGGGUAGCAAUGGCAGAAUCUUGAAAAGCAGGAAAAGAGGGAAAUGGGGGCAACGAAAUCCCGUGUUUCUGUAACAGAAACUCGGAAAGAGAGAGCAAUGGAAGGAAUCAGACGAAGAGGAAAUACACACACACAAAAAAAAAAAAAAAAAAAAAAAAAAAUUGGGCUUUGUUUUUAUGUAAAAUGAGAAAAGGGCAACGAAAAAAAGAAAAUCAAAUACGAUGGGGUGUAGUUUAGAGGUUGUAUGAUGAUUUAGUGAAAUGGGUACCAUUCAGAUUAUGGAAAAUCAAAAGAGAGAAGAAAAAUCAAAAUAAUAAAAGGAUAAACAAAGAAAGGAAGCUGUUUUGAUUGAUGAGGAAAGCAAAAGGUUGUUGGUACCAAUGACUAAGCUUUUUUUCUUUGUUUCUGUAAUUAUUUUUUUAUUAUUCUUUUUUCUUUUUCUUUUUUUAUUUAUUAUUUUUACUUUCUUUAAAAAUAAAAAAUUAAUAAUAAAAUUUAAAAAUAGUUUCCACCAAUAAAUUAAACCAACCCCCAUUUCAAUCCUUUCCCGAAUUUGGUUCCUAAAACAACUAAUUAACCAAACAUUUGGAGGGAGGAGAGAGGCGAUGACCAUUUUAUGUUUUUCUGUUUCUUUUUUACUUUUUUUCUCACUAAAUUUGUUCAUUUGGAUACACACCAAUCAUUUUUCCACUAUAUAUUCUCAUUGCUAUCUAAAAUUUUCAACCAUACCCAUUCUGUUUUGUCUUCUCUGUUAAUUUUGAUUUCAUUCAUAGAAGCAUUGUUACUGUUUUAACUUUUGCUCCUGUAAUUAUUGAACAACCAAGAUUCUUCCCGUUUAAAUUGGACUUUGGUGAAAUUAAAGUAAACCCAUUUAUGCGCAAUGUGUAUUGUAAUAAUGGUAAGUGUUAUACAAAAUUGUAUAUUUUUGAUACAACUAGUCCCUAAAAAUCGUGAUUCUGUGAAUAAGAUUAUGUCAACAAAGGAAUUUGGAAUUGGAUUUAAUAAACUAAAGAAGUAGUUUAGAGAGACGUGGUGGCUACUUUGUAAAUGGAAAUGAGGUCAAAGCCCAAAAGGCCCACUCCACUUCUCCCAAUAAAAUGGGGGAAAAGAAGGUGGGUCCAAAUUAGUUUGAGUUUAGGGCUUAGUGGGUUUAAAAGUUGACACUUGUCCUUUUCUUAUUCUUAUGAACCAAAAGUUACUCAUCAUCAUCAAUUACCAUGAUGAUGGUGAUGAUGGUGAUGAUGGUGAUGGAUCAUACAUCUCCAAAUAUUAUAUCAAAAAACAAAACUCCAUUCUUUUCCCAAAUCUAACUUACACAUCAUCCUUGCCUUUUCUCCUAAUUCACCUUCCAUUUUUGUUUUAUUUCACUACUCUUUUCCUUUCCUUCUCAUUCAUCCUUAUUCAUUUUUCAAACCAUUACUUUCCUGUUCUUCACAAUUCAAAUAUAUGUUUCUUUCUUUUCUUUUCUUCACUUUUCUAAAUAGGUUGCCAAUUAUUUUAUUACCCAACCCCAACCCUCAUUGGUGAAUGAAAAUACAUCUUAAGAACUCAAUAAAUAUAUUUGUGUAUUUUAUUAUGUACAAUUGACCCUCUCGUUAUUUAUAGAAACUUAUAGUUGACAAAUAGAUAAAUAAUUUAAACAACAACAGUUCCUCUUUAAAAUUUGAUUUCAACCUCCUAAAUUAUCAAAAUUUGUUUAGGUAAGUGAAGUAAGAAGCAUGAAAUUAUGAAAUUAGAAAAAAUAUAUAUAUAUAUAUAUAUUCUAUGGUAUACAUAAAAAGUUUACAACUUCAAUCGGUUUUCCACAUUACCACUUGUUGAAAAACAAAAAACCCACAAAAUAACAUUAAAAAAAUGAACCCAAAAAGACAUAAAGUGAUUAUCUACAGUAUUUAAAUAAAUAAAAAGGAGAAUUCAAGAUGGGGUUUGAAAAAGUGUUCGAGAUAAGCUUUUGACUAAGAGAGUUUAUUUAAAAGAAAAAAAACCACUACAAUGUGUCUACCCACAUAUAAUUGCUAUUAUACACAUAGAUAGAGAAUAUAUAUAUGUGUGUAUGUGUGUGUGUGUGACUUUACUUCUACAUCAUUAUUUACCACAAAUUAAAAAAGAAAAAAGAGUUUUAAACUAAGUUAUAUUUAAAUGCUCAUUUCAACCUUAUGAUUUCUUUUAAUUAGUUUAAUAAUUACAUAUUCAGAAUCCCACCGUUCUUUUUCUUUUUAAUUAAUUACACUCUUAAUUUAGAAGUGUGUAUUUGUUAGAUGGACUUCCACGUGUUAUAUAGAUAUAGCCUUUGGGUUGCUCAUUUCAUUUUUUAUGUUUUAAUUAUAAUUAGUCUACAAUUAACUACAAUUUUUUUUUAUUUUUGGAUGUUUAUUGUUUUUUACUUUCAUACAUUGACUAAAAUUAAAUAACAUGGAUAAUUAUAAUUUAUACUAAAAACAUAAUCCAUGAUUAUAAUAACUAAAUUCAAGACCUCAAAUGCAUCUUCAUACUUUCAACUUCAUUCUUUGAUAAAGGUGUGAUAAAGGUGUUUAGUUUAUACAUACCAUUAUUCAACUUUGGCUAUCAAACAAAAACAUUUUCAUUACCCACAGCUUAUCCUGUUCGAAUCUUACACCAUUUAUUAUUCUUAUUAUUAUUUAUUAAUCUUUAUACUAAUUAUCUUCUCUUCUUUCUCCCUCUUUUUCUAUCAUCAUUCUACUCUCUCUUUUUAUAUUCAUAUACUUCUCAUUACAUAUCUUUUUCUUUUCUCUUAAUCAUGCUUUUCUUUUUUUUUCUUUUUUCCCUUUACUUUCAAGUUAUAUAAUCAUCUUCCUUUUUUUUUUAAUAUACCAUUUUUGUUACAUUUUCUUCAUUCUUUCAAAAUUAUAAAAGUUAACUUCACCAUAGGCAAUGAAAUUUUUAGGUUUACUGUUAUAAAAAAAAUCACAAACAACAGUAACUUCUUCAAAAUAUAUAAGAGAUCAAGAUAACUUUAUCACGUGUAUUUAUUGUUAGUUUGAACAAAUAUUUUGGUUGAAACUUUUGUUAAAUUCACAAUUUGAUCCCAGCAUUUUUAUCCAAUAUAGACUCCAUGUGUUACAAUUAAGACUACCCCAUAAUAUAGCUUCUUGUUUUCCUUCUUUUUGUUAUUAUAUAGUUUGGACAGAAAUAUAUAUCAUUUUGAUAAUGUAUUUAAAUGUUGGUGUUCAUAGUUUAGUAUGUUUGAUACAUAUAUUUACUUUUAUAAGUACCAUUCUAUGAUCUACAAUUUGAGAUAUCAAGAGUUGAUCAUCUUCAUAUGAUAAAUUUGUUCAAUAUAUACUACAUUGUUUGAUCAUUUUGAGUAUAAUUAAAGAUAUAUAAUAAUAAUAAGAGAAGGCAGUGUGGUUAGCAUGAACAAGUUUGAUGAUUUAAUUUAAGGAGUUUGUGUUGUGUGUUUUAAUAUUCAUAAAUGUGCUAAGAAUAGAGGAAGGACAGAAGUAGUAGAAGAGGCGUAAAAAGGGGUUGAAAAUGGAUAAAUAGGAAGCAUAUAUAGGGAUUUAAAAGAAAAGCAAAACAAAUCAAUAAUAAUUAAGAUGAAGGCACAUGGAAGGCAUUAAUUUAAAUUAAGAGUAAGAAGGCAAUGGGAGGAUUAUUAUUAUUGUUCUUUCAUUUGACAGAAACGCAAAGAAAGGGAGAUAGAUAUAUGUGUGAUUUGAUUGGGUGAAAAAUAGGGAACGUGUAAAAGCAAAGACCAUUAUUAUUUAUAAUUUGAUAUAUAUAUAUAUAUGUAUUGGGUAUUAAUUGGGAAAAUAUUGAUGAGUAGGGCAUAUAUAAGAAUGGAAAGGUUAGAAAAAGAGAGUGGGGGUUUGGAGGGGAGGGGGGGGGACAAAGGUGAAUGUGUUGUCUACAUAAAUAGAGGCAAAGUGGUGAUGACAUGGAAAACACAAAAUGACCAAACCCAACCCACAAAUUAUUUCUUUUUUAUGUGUACAAUGUUAAGAAAAAGGCCUCAUUGCCAUCUCUCUCUCUUUCUCCAUCUCCAUCUCCAUCUCCAUCUCCAUCUCUGUCUCUCUAGUCACACUUACCAAAUACUCUUUUUGUCUCUCAACUCUUUUUAUUUUCCUCCCCCUCACCCCAUCGUCUCCAAUCCACACUCAUUUCUUCUUUUCUUUCUUUUAUAUAUAUGUAUUCUUCUUUAUUAUGUCCAUUCAUUCCGCAGGUUCAGUUUUAUGUAAUAAUCUCUUUGUUUUCAAGAAGAAAAAUAAAAUCCCUUACAGUAUACUCUCUCACAUUUAACCUAUUCUUUUGAACAAUCUCAAAGGCCAACGAUAUAUAUAAUUGUUUUGUCCCUAUACAGUAUAUUAUAGAAAAACCAAUAACAUUCUAACCUUUUAUAUUCUUUGCAUAUUUUGGUUUUGUUAUGAAACAUUGAAAUUUAACAGAAAUAUUUGCACAUGGACACUUAUAAUAUAAAUAAAUUAAGUAAUUUACCAAAUUUUAAAAAGGGUGUGGUGGAAGAUGAAUAUAUGAAGAAAAAAUCAAAGCAUAUCAAUAAUACAUACAUUUUAUUGAACCAUGCUCUCAUGCUCAUUUUGGGUGGGAGAUUAAUGUGCUAAACUAGCAAUAAUUAUUACAAUAUUAAACAAUUAAUGAGGAUAAGUCCAAAAGAAUGAAAAGUGUGUUAAUUAUAAAGUUUAAUUAGGUUGGCAUAUAAAGAUUCUAAGUUGAAGACAAUGAUAGAAAAAAACAAAAGAAGGAUGUUGGAGUUUGUCACGUGAUGGCUAUUAUAUAUUUAACCCUAAACAAGGCCACAUGAUUAGUUUUUGUAUAUUAUAAUUUUCAAAUGUGAAACUUUUUAAUCUAGAAACUUUGCUACAUCAAUAUAUAUAUUUAGAAUGAACUAAAAAGUUUGACUUGAUCUCAUAAGAAACAGUUUAAUUAUCAAUAAAAUUUAAAUUUUAUAUUAUAAGCUGGGAUGAAUGUAUAUAAAAUGAAACAUAUAGAUGGUAUUAGUAGAAAAGAAACUGAAACCAUAUAUUAUUGACGUUUUAGAAUUAUAUUUGUUUUAAUAAUUAUGAGAGAGAUUAUAAGAAACAUAUGGAAGGCGAUGUGAAUGAAUGUGCUUGCACGCUUCCACCCACCCGCUACAUUCUGGGAGGCGGUUGCCGUCGUCAACCACCGCCCCUUUUCCUUUUCUCCUCUCCUUUUAAUCUAAUUCUUUUACCAUAAUCUUUGUUUCUCUUCGUCAGCUGUAUAAUAACUCAUUCUUCACAUUAACUUACUAAGGUAUUUGGUAUGAACAUUCUUCACCUAUCUUUAACAAUCAAAUAAUUAACUAUCUAAAUUUUGAAAUUUGUAUUAUAUAACAGUUUUUUUUAACUUUUAAACUGCAAGUCUAUGAAGGAUCAGGUGCUUAAAUAAUCUAUAUAUUAGAUAUUAGUUUGAAUUUUAUUAGAAAGGAUAUAGAUUUAAUUUGAUGAUAAAUAUAAUUUUUAACUUCUUUUUCUUGACUAAAAAAUUUGGGAUAAAAUUAUAAUUUAAAUUAAAGGUGUAGUAUUAAUUUUAUGGACAUGACAUGAAAGGGCAUGCAGUGACUCACAUCUUUCAAUUGAAAAGAUGAUGAAGAUGAAAAGUAACGUAAGGGUAGGAAUAGGGGUUUGGAUGGGAAUUCAAUAAUAGACCCAUCUUUAAUUAAUUUGUAUUUAUAAUCUUUAGGGCAGGCAUACCCUAAACCGAAUUGAUGGUUUCCUCUCUAUUUCAUCAUAUUAUUAAUUUAGUGUCUCUACUUUAUAAUUUUGUUUAUGUCUAUGUUUAAAUCUCAUUUUUAGUUUGUACCCAUCUCACUUUUUUCCCAACAAUUCUUAAAUAAAUUCAAAUCCUUCUGCUUUAAAAACACGUAUCAUUUAUCAAUAAAUUUAAGGAUAUAACUCUAACGUUGAUAUUAGUUUAGCUAAGCUUUUAUGGAUAAUCGCUUAAUUAAGUUAAUAGUUAUUGAGUUUUACAUAUUUUCUAAUAUAAAAAAAUAGGAAAUGAGAAUUUAAAGUUACAACCUGUAAGGGGGAGAAAAUGUGAUAACCUCGGCAAGCCCCUCAACCAAAUCUUCAAAAUAUUAUGUGUGAUGUAUAUUCCAUGGAGGGAAGUAUGUAUAGUUGAAGCCCAUUGGAAGCAUAUGGGGCUUAUUCUCAAUUUUAUUUCCAGCUCAAUAACUUUACUAAUGGCCCAUCCACUAGCUGGCCCUUAAUUCUCGAAAACAAAGAAACAAAGAAUGUAAACAUCGAUUUUAAAACUAAUUAUUCCAUGCCCUAUUAGCACCGAGUUAAACCCAGUUUCACACGUUGACAAUGCAUUACAUCUAUCUAUCUAUCUAUCUAUUUAUCCUUCCCCUUCAAUAAGAUAAUCCAACUCAGUGAAAUUGGACAAAAUUAAUUAAUUAGCUGAUCCAAAUUGAAUGGUAAAUAUGUUGUAAAAUUAAUUAGGAUUGAGAAUAAUGAAGGAAGUAACACACACAAUACAAAGAUUAUUAUUAUUAAUUAUGAUUAUGAUUGAAAAGGAGACGCUAUUGUAAUUAAUUAUUGAAGGAUGGGAAGAGAGAAGGAAGGGAAAACAAAGUGUAAUUAAUUUAAAUAGAUUUAAAUGAUUAUUUGGAAUUGGAUUGGAGUCGUAGAGAAAGGUUGGUAAGGGAAAGAAGAAGUAGUUUCAAGUUCUGAUAGGUUUGUUGAUCAAUCAAGUCACCAUCUUCAUUGAACUUGGGAGGUGGUUGAAAGGCAUUCACAUGAACCCCAGGCUUGUUCACAAAGUGAAGGUCCAAAAACACUCCCACUUGCCGGAGAUGGAAUUGUGCCAAUCCACCGCCGAAUCCACCGCCGGCACUCAUUAUCGCCGCUGCCUUUCCGGCAAACACGUUUGGUGGUCUUGAUGCCCAAUCAAUUGCAUUCUUUAAGGGAGCUGCUACCACACACAACCAACAUAAAAAACUAUAUAUCUAUUUAUUAUUGCUAUUUAAUCCAUUUCCAUAAAACUUAACUUUCACUAAAUUUAAAAAUUCAUCAGAAGCAAUGAUUACCAUUAGACCUUUAAGAAUUAAAAAUAUAUAAACUAAAAGUAUAACAAAAUAAUCUAAAGUAGAAACAGUAAAAGCACGUAUAUUUUAACUAAAAAAAAAGAAUGAUAAUGUUUUACUAUUCGUUAUAUAAUGAUAUGGACGGCACUCUUUUGCAACAAAGAACACACAAGAUCAGAUGGGUGUCUAAUGACAAAUAUUAAAAGACUAGAUUUUUCAACUCAAUUUAAGUAUAUAGUUUUGAAUUAAAGUUAAACAGUGGGUAAUUAAAUUUGAGUAAUUAGUAGGAAAGUUUGUUAAGAGAGAGAGAGAGACCGGCAAUAGAGUAAUUAUACUCGGGAGAAGCGAAGAGAAUACAAUCGGAGUGAAGGAUCUUGCGGCGGAAAGCCUCAACGACGGGAGGAAAACCUCCGUUUGGAGUUUCAAGAUCGGUAUUAAGCAUGGGCAAGGGAUCCACUUCCAGGUACUCGAUUUCAAUUCCCGAUUCCUCCUUACAAAUCUUCAUCGCUGAUGGCAACAAGUAAACAAUUCAAAUUCAUUCAAUUACAAACAACGUAACAUGAAUAUAUAAUAGUAUAAUAGUAUAAUAGAAUAAUAGAAUAGGGGAGCGGGGGUUAGUUAGUUGUUACGCGUACCGGCUCGAAUAAGGCCACGAUUAAAGGAAGCCUUACGAAGAGAGCCGCAUAAAGCCACCGCUUUGACCACCGGUUCACCGCCCGUAACCCCCACCGAUGCCAUGGAUAUGAUAUGAUAUGAAAUUCAAAAACACUCUUCUCUUUAGUUAAAACACACCCCAAUUGCAAUCAAUCAUGCACAAUGCUCCUUUUUAUACACCCAACGCCCACUUUCUUUUCCUACUUAUUUUCUAUUCUAUUCAGUAUUCCCCCUCUUUCUUUUCUUUUUAUAUUCUUUAGUUUCAUCUUUUAUUUUUCCUUUUUGUUUGGAAUCAUUUUCGAAUAUAAUAAAAUUAAUAAAUAAUAUUAUUAGUUUUCAGUCUCUUAUCAAAUUUUAUACACAUGUUUGAAAUUUAAAUACUUGUUCCAUGUUCUAAUUUCUUUGGUAUAAAAUAAAAGAAAAUUAGCAUUUAGCUAACCAAUUUAAUCAUAAAAUUAGGAGUAAAUUCGGUGGAAAAGUUAAAUGAAAAAACUUUCUAUAUAUAUGAAAUGAGUAAUUCUCUUGAAAGAGGAAAUAUAAAAGUUGUUAGAAGACCUAAUUUUGAGGGAAUCAUUUCUAAUAAAGGUUAAGAACAGAUUUUGUGGACUAAUGGGUGAUUUCAAAUGGAUUAUUCAUUCAACUUCAAAUUUUCUAAGGAAACAAACCGUUAAAAUUUUGGCUAAUGAUACCUUUAUGUUAACAAAGUUAUAAUUUUCAAAAGCAGAAAAUUGAGAUUUGAUUUUUUUUUUUAAGCUUUUAAAAAUAAAGUCUACAAACAGAUCUUGAUGUUGUUUUACUUUCGUAUCUACUUUUGACCUAUAUUUUAAAAUCGAAAAAUGAUUGGAAAAACUCCGGCACGAAUAAAUUUGGAAUUUUGCCAUACAUAAUAUUUGGAAAUAAGCAUUUUAGAAAGUUGUUGGUUAAAAUUAAAAGCUAAAAACAAAAAGAAAAAAAGAAUUGAAUUAAAAGAUAUUAUUUGUAGUAUUAUUAAAAUGGGGUGAGCGGCCGGCUGAAUAAGCGAUUAAUUAAUUAAUUAAUUGGGUAAUUAAAAAGGAAAGAUGUAUUAGGUAAGGGAUGAGGUGGAGGAAAUAUUUUGUUAUUCUCCUCAAAUCCUGUUCACAUCCACUUCUUGUCGGCUACUCCCAACUCAAAUUUAUAUUUUUUUGUUUUAUGUUUCAAUACAAUUAUUAUAUGCUUCUCUUCUUUACUUUUUACUUUUUACAUAAUGCUUAAUGCUUAAUUAUAUUACAAAGUUUAAAUACACACCACCACAUUGUAUGCCAUCAAAACAAAGAUUUCCACACGUCCACACCACGAGUUCUACGCUCUAUAUCUUACGCAUCCAAACCUCUACUACUAGGCCUUGGGUUUAAUGCCAUCUUGUUAGUCAUCCACAAUGCUGUAUAUGUACAUGUAGUAUGUACUGGUGUAUAAUUUUGAAAGGGUAUUGAGAAAAUAAAAGGUCAAAAGUAGGGAUCAAUUAUUGUAUUAAAAAAUAAUUAUUAUUUUUCUUUCUUAGUGUUCAUGGUCAACAUAUUAAUUAAAAACAAAAGUCUAAUUUGAUGGGGAAUUAAAUAAGCAGCACAGACAAAAAGAGAUGUUAUACUGUCGUUGUCACGGUUAUCGAAGAAGAAGAAGAAGGGAAAAAGGGGUAUUGGUUUGGUAUGAUGAUGUAUAUUAUUAAUAUAAGGCCCAUCUGGGCAAUAAUGAGAAGCCCUAAGAAACCACCAUUGAACCUUCCUAGGUUGCUACCCCUUCCAACCAUUUUUAUAUAAAGCCCAAUUUUUAUCUCAUCUAUUCUCUUCAGCCCACAACCCAUGUAUCGACCUUUAAAACCUUCGUUACUACUGUCUUAUCUACUGAUUUGUGUUUAAAUUUAUACAACGUAGAAUGCAAUUCUUUGUAUGUGAAUUUGCUAACACAGUAAGCAAUUGUUUCAUUGAAAAAAUGGGUUCCUUUCUUUGCCCUUAUGGUAUACAUCAAUCCCUUAUCGAUCAUCUUUGGUGUCUUCUUGUGAUUCUUCUUCUUUGCUUUUCAUCGGUUUUUUAUAUGUUAAGUGGAUUAAUGGUUAAUUAGUGUAAUAAAAUAUCUACUCUCAUUCAAAGUGUGUCUUAUAUGUAUAAUGUGAAAAUGUAAACCCUGAGUAACAAAAUAUAUACCAUGAACUGGAAAAUUACUACAAGUUAAUUAAGAAAAUGAGUGAAGUGAAUUAUAGAAUUAAGACUGAUUGAACAAGAUUGUCGGCAGAGUAAAAUAAAUAGUUAAAGAGGAAACAAGGCCUUUCUCGAAGCAAACCCCAAUGGAAUAUGCAAAACUCUGACACCCAUCCCUUUUUAUCUUUUACUUUUUUCUUUCUCUUUAAUCAAAAUAAAUGGAAAUUUCAACUUUUCAAGAUAAUUGCAAUUUCGGUACAUACCCUAAACUGGAAACACACCUAUAAAAAACUAUACAACUUUUUCUAUAUUAUUUCAUCAACUCACUCGUUACUUACAAAUAAAUUAAGUUGUUUUUAAAUACAGUAAAAACUGAAAAAAAUAUAUAUAUAUAUUUACAGUCAUACAAAAAUAUUACAUAUAUCUAUAGAUAUCUACUGUCAUAUUUUAUUGUUUUUAUAAAUAUUUUUAAAUAACUUUAUCAUUUUAUAAAUCAUAUUGAAUUACAAUUGUUAAUGAUUUAAUUGUAAUUGAUACUAGUAAACUCUAUAAAAAAAGUUGUAAACAGUGAUAUAGAUACAAUGCUUUAAUCUAUUGGUUUCCAGUAGUUUAUGCAAUUUUGAUUACAACCCAAAAUUCAUAAACCUACUUUGACCCUUCUUAUGUAACUAUGGACUCGUUAUCCAAUAACUUCAUAUUUAUUAAUUUUAAUCAUACACAAUUAGAAAUUGGAUUAUGACAUUUAAAAAUGGUGUUAGAUUGCCUUUUUAGAAAAUGAUAGAGCUAAAUUCUAUUAAGCAGAUGUCAAUUUCAUUAUGCAAAGGUUGUAUGUGAAUAGUUUUUUUUACCUCGAGGACUGGACAUAAAAUUUAAACUAUAAUAGGACGAAAAAUUUUGAUUUUGAAAUACAAAACAACAAUUCUACAAAGGAGACAGAAGUUGUGGAGAACAAAAACAAAAACUAGUAAUUUUGUUAUUAAACUUUUAAAUACAGUCAAUCUUCACAUGCAUAUGCCAUAAAAAUAAAUAAAAUCUCAUGAUCUUAUAUGUUUUUUUAAUUGGAAUUUUAUUCCCUUGAAUUGGAGUGACAUGAUUGUGUUUUCUUUUUGGCUUAAAUUAACUUUAAUAAAGUACUAGCUAUAUAUGCAUAAUUAUGUCUUUACCAAUCGAAUCAAAACUACAAAAUCGAGAGUAGUUUAGCAUAUCUAAGUUAUAGAUCUACAUCAUGUGACCUAACAUGAAACUAUUUCUUCUUUUAGGUUUAAUUGUUUUUUUUUUUUCCUUCAAAACCAAUUGUCUUUUAAAAAUAAAAUUAUAGUUUAUGGGCGCCAUUAUAUAACUUGAAAUUGUACUUCAAUGUACAGACUGUAAUCUUGAUGUGGUUUAGUUAAAUAUUUGAAGCACAUAACCUUGGAGUGUAGUUAGUAGGAGAAAUUGUUAUACCACUUGAAAUCUCUAGGUAUUAAAUUUUACAUAUAACUCCCAUUUUAUGAAUCAGUCCAAUUUGUAAAUAGUCUUAUGUUGUGAUUAAACCUUUGAAGCAUCUAAUAAGUCCUUUGAAUUUUAAUCUUGUAUUCACAUAAGAAUGAGAUGAGAUAUGCACUAGAUAUAAAAUUAUUAUAACAUUGAUAGUUUUAAAACUUAUUUAUAGAUAAAUAUUACAAACGAAACAGAGAAAUAAUGGUUAAAAACCAAGCUUUUAAUUUAAUAGAACUAAAAAUAAUAAGUAAAAGGGAAAAAAAUGAAUUGGUAUAUUUUAUGGGUGUGAAACAAUGUGUUUGAAGAAGGCAAGUAGAAUAUAAAUGAGGUUUGUGGAUUGGUGAUGAGGUUGUAGGGUUAAUAUUAUUGUUAUUGGUAUAUAUAUAUUGAUGUGAUUAUUGAAGUUAUGAUUGGAGAAGUUAUUAUUUUAUAUACGUUUUAUAUCCAAGCCAUGUGUGUAUAUGUUCAUCACAAAAGAAAAGCGAACAAAAUUGAAAAACCCUAAUAGGAAUUAAAUUGGGUUUGGCCAAAAAGACAAGCCAUGUUUGUUGAUAAUAGUGCAGUGCAAUCACAUGCAUGCAUUUUCGUUUCAUCACUACACAUUUUAACUCUUUCCCUCAGUACAACAAACUCAGUCUUGUUUUGAAUUGAACCCACCCUACCCCCUUUACUUUCCUCUUUCUCUUUUUUAGAAAAACUUUUGUCAUUUUCGUUUUUGCUUUAAUUUCAUCAUUUCAUUACCAUAUAGGUCGUGAAAUGGGUUUGAUUGUUGAUUCCAUUUAUAUAAAGAGUAGCAACAAAGACAGAGUAAAAUGUGUAGUUAUUGGUUUCGCAUCGGUUUUGGUUUUUGUAUACUUCACAAUUUAGACUAAUAAAACAAAGCAAGUAAAACUGUAAUAAAACUAGAAAUGAAUGCUCAUUUAUUAGUUUCGAAAUAUCAAUCAAAUUCCAAAAUCUAAAAAAACCAACAUUAAGUUUUGAUUUGGAUUCAAUUUUUGGAAGUGACUGUAGACAAUAUCUCAAAUGGAGAAGAUGAUGCAUGCGUUUAAAAAUAUUACUUAUUAAAUUGGAAUAAUCUUAAUCCUUAUCAAUCAAAGCAUUAGUAUACAUUUUGUUUGUGUAUAUUAAUAGUGAUUGUUUUUAAAUAAAGGAUUGGAGCAAAGAUCUGAUCCUCAAACUCACAUCUUAGAACAAUAAUCAGAACUUUUUUUUAAUAAUAAUUAAGAAAAAAACUGUGUAGCUAAUUGGGUUUUAUUCCCAUCUCAAAUAAGGAGCUUCCCAAGUAAAAUGGGGGGAAAUGGACAAAAUAAUCAUAAAUAAUAGAUACAUAUUUGCAGUACUCUCUCUGAUUAGUUUUAAAUUAUUAAAAGGAAUAUGAUGAAGAUCUAAACUUUACUAUAAUAAUGUUUCUAAGAAAUACCCACUCUUCUAAUAUUAUAUAAUCAGAUUUUACAUCUCUCCCCCAAUACUUUCGUUUACACCUUAAUUAGCUUGUAUAUAUAUAAUAUCCCAAAUAACUUCUGCUGUCUUGUUACUGUUUCUUUUUUCUUUUCUACAACUUUUUAAAGGUAAUAAACUUUGAUGGUUUUUGGAUAAACAAUUCAAAUGAAAGCUUAAUAAACAAUAUUUCUUUAAUAUUUUUAUACAAAUUAAAGUUCUCUUCUCACACAGAUAUAUAUGAUUCAAAUGUAUUUUAUCUCGUUUUAUAAAACAAUAAUCUAAAAAAGCUGAAAUUUGAUUGUGCCAAAGAAAAAAGAAAAAAGAAAUCGCAAUGGUUUGUUUUUACAUUGAAAAAAGCAAACACCUUUCAAGUACUUCAAAAAAAAGAAAAGAAAAAAAGAAAAGGCAAACAUUUUCCCCCCAUGUUUUGCUUUUUAAAAAGUGAAUUAAACAAUGUUUAGCUGAAAAAAAUGAAAUUAAAUCAAUAAUGGAACAUAAUUAAACUGAUUGAUGCAUAAGACGAUACUACCAAAAAAGCAAUUAGGAAAUAUAAUUAGAUUGAAUUAUUGUAUGAAAUGACAAAUACCCCACAUUCUCCCAUUCUAUAUAUCUUUUUGUUCCUCAUAACGUGACAUUUCCUUUAUGAACAUCUUUUUUCAAACUUUCAUCAAUGUUUUACUUUUAGUUUCUUUUCUUUUUCUAAUUUAAAGUUUAUAAAUAAUAGAGAGUAUUAUUACACAUCCCAAUUCCAGAAGUAUAUAUAUAUGGGGAUUUUCGUUCAUACCUAAGUCGAUCAAAUUGAAAAAAAACACACACAUUUACACAAUGUGUUUUGAAAUGAAAUAAAUAAUUAUAUGUAGUAGUCAAACAUUGAAUAAGUGAAGAGUUUAAAUUGGAUUAAGUUUAAAGAGAAGACAUUAGAGAUGAAGAUAGAAAAGAGAGAGAGAAGAGGUAAAUUAUAAGUUAGAAAAAUGGGAGGGAGGGAGGGAGAGACAUGAUGUGUGAUGAAAGGGACAUUGGCACGAGAGGGUCCAAUGCCAAAAUGGAAUCCACUCUGUUCCCAUAAUAUACAAAUAAUAAUCCAUUUUCCAUUUUCCAUUUUCCAAUUUUCAUCAUUAAUCAUUAUUAUUAUUCCUUAGGUACUCCCCACUUCCCCACAUCACAUUUUCUCUAUCCCACCAUCUAAUUUAACUAUUAUUUUCUCCCAUCCCCUCUUCCUUCUUCUCCCAUUCAACUUUAUAUGUUUUCAAUAAUCAUCAAAACCAUCUCUUAAAUAACUUCCCCCUCUUCCUCAUCAUCCUCUCCAUUCCCUCUAAUAUCUUCUUCAACUCUUCUUUUUUACAUUCUUUCUUUACUAAAAUCAACCAAAGUUUAAUUUCAUAACUACACCUAUCAUCUGCUAACCUUUCCUUUUCUCUCUCUUUUUUAUUCAACGUCUGAAUCAAUCAUUUAUGAAAAAAAAAGGUUAUGUAGUAGGUAUAAACAACUAUCUAAAGUUAAUCUAUAUGCUGCAUGUAUACUUACAACUUAAAGUGAACUAUAUUAUAAUGUUUUGAAAUAUUAUAGGAGAGAUCCGACCCAUUUCUCUCCCAAUAUAAUCAUUUAGGAAAGAUUUUUUUUUAUAUAUAUAUAUAUGUAUGUAUGUAUAAUCUAAAUAUAUCACAUUGGUGCUUUGGUUUCACAUUAACCUAUUAUUACAAUCUAAACAAUGAAGUGGCUUUUACUUCUAUUAUUUCUCAAAAAGCUACUUCCUUUUUCUCAAUAAAAUAGCGAUUGGGAUCAUGAAGCUCCAUUCCUAGAAAGAAACGUUAUUUGUAUUAAUUAUCAUUGAUUACUUAAGCUUAGUUUAAUUAAAAAAGAAAAGUUGAUUUUUUUUUAGUUCUAUAAUAAUGCAUGGCUGCAAAAUCCAAACUUAUAUGAUUUUAAUAUAUAGAUUUAAUUUGAAAUAUCUCAAAACUAAACAUAUACAUGUUUCAAACUAUCUAUUUCAAUAAUUAAACUUUAAUAAUUUUUGUAGAAGAAUUAUUAAGUCCAGUGUAUAGUCGAAAACACCGCACUACUCCACAUAAGCAAACUACAGACAUCACCAAGAAUCUAAAAUUGAAAGAAGAAAGAAAAAGCUAAACAUUAAAUUCUAUUUUGAUUUACUAACUUUCACAUUAGACUUAAGUUAAGGGUCAGUGUAGUUCCUAAAAAAAUAUUAUUGAUUUAUUUUGUUACUCUAUUUCAACUUUUACAACAUAGUUAAUAUCUUAAAAAAUAGUGUCUAGACAUAAACUCUCGAUCUAUAUUAAUCAUUUGGUUGUCAUUCGAUAACAUGUGUAGGCAUUGAAGUUCAUCACAUAUAUUCAAUAUAGGGUUAUUAUAUUUAAUUUGAUAGUGUAAUUGAAUUUAAUUAGUGUUAAAUUACAAAUUAUUUGGCAGGGAAUGGGGAGUACGAAUGUUGUAUAAAUAUGGAUGGGGGUGUGAGUGAGUCUUCCCCACAAUCAUCAUACUCCCUUUAAUAUUCCUUUCAAUUAAUUACUUCCCACACCACACUCGAAGGAAGCCAUGAACAACACCAAAUCCCCCUUCCUUCUCCUCCUCCUCCUCCUCCACCUAUUCUCCAUUUCCACCGCCAAAUCCCAUAUCCCCUCCAACUGCAACCCCGCCGCUGACCGGAGCUCCACCCUCCAAGUGUUCCACAUUUUCAGCCCCUGCUCCCCAUUCCGCCCAUCAAAGCCCCUUUCUUGGGCCGACAAUGUACUCCAAAUGCAGGCCAAGGACCAAGCCCGUCUCCAGUUCCUGUCCUCCCUGGUGGCUCGAAGGUCGUUCGUCCCCAUCGCCUCCGCCCGGCAGCUGAUCCAGAGCCCCACCUUCGUGGUCCGGGCCAAGAUCGGGACCCCUGCCCAGACCCUCCUCUUGGCCCUCGAUACCAGCAACGACGCCGCUUGGAUUCCUUGCUCCGGCUGCAUCGGUUGCCCUUCCACCACCGUCUUCUCAUCCGACAAGUCGUCCUCCUUCCGUCCCCUCCCCUGCCAAUCCCCUCAAUGCAACCAGGUACUCAUCUUAUUUUUAUUUUCCUACCCCUUCCUCUACUCACAAAUCAUUUAAGGCAUUUAAAAUAUUUUAAGAUACCUAAUCUUUUCUUUUUUUUUCUCUUCUUAAUUGAGAGUUAUAGUUGGUUUGGAAUCUCAAUUAGCUUCCUAUAUAUAUACAUUGAACAAAAAACAACCUGAUUCAUAUGCAAAAGAAGAAAAAGGAAUUUUAAGUGUUGAAAAGUUGCAAGAGCAAGUAGAGGGAAGUAGUGUUUAAUUUUAAGAUUUUUGUAGGAGCGGUGUGAUAUUAAUUAACUAUACAAGUGUGCGCCGCUAGCAUUAGAUUAGUGGAGAGGCCACAUAUCCACAUAUCCCUUGGAAUAUUCAAUCACCAUAGCAACAUACAAUAAAUCAAUAAUACUUCACUUACAUAACAUUCUCCUUUUGCUUCCAUCCCCACUUUAUGCUUUUCUUUCCUUUUUUUUCUUCUUCUUCUUUAAUAUUAAAAAUGUAAUGCCUCACACUUUUAUAACUAAUUAUUUUAGCAAACAUUUUACAAUAAUUACGAAUAUAACCAAAUUUAUUCAUUAUGGGCAUUUCUUUAAUAAUAUACUCUAAAAAUUGUAGUGUUCCUUAGUCUUUUGUUUCAAUAUAUUAUAUUUGAUUCUUGUAUUUGCAAUUGCUCUGUAUUUGCAUCUGAUCUAUUUGAUCUAUUUUUACCACCCUGUAAAAUUAAACAAUUUGUCAUUGGGUAUCAACUUUUUUCUUUUUUAAUUUGGUUUUUAAAUUUAGAGUGUAUUACUAAAUUUUGUAUUUUGUGUUAUGUGAGUUUCAAGGUUCUGUAUUUUGUUUUCAAUAGAUCAGUAACUUAUUCAACAAAUUGUAAAAAAAUGUACAUAUGUUUUAACAUACAAAAUUGAAAGUUUGAAGUUUUGCAUUAAGCAGCUUAUCUAUAUAUAUAUAAUUUGUAUGGUUUGAAAACUUUAAUUACGACAUAAACUUGGUAGGUAUGAAAUUUUUUGAAGUCUUAAAAGUUAUGAGACAUAAAACAAAACUUAUAAAAUUGAGCAGUAGAUGAGAUGUAAUUGUCAGGUUUAGAUAGUAUUUUAUUUUAAAUAUAGAAUGUGGUGACCAACUUAAAAUUAAAAAGGAGUGAUUCUUUCUAAUUAAAUUGUAACCAAUUUAGAUUUGCAUAGAAAGUUUUAGAUGCUUUUGAAGAAUCCAAUCCAAGUUCCCACGUGCCAAGCAAUCGUUUCCUUCGAGGCAACACGUGUGACAGGAAAAAGCCUGAUUUAAAUUAUUUCCGUACGAGUUAUUUCCUUUUAAUUUUAAUAAUAUUUUGGGUGUCUCUAGAAUCCACGAGUGUCAGUGAGUCACCGACGGGGGAGGGUUGAGUCACGGGCCUAAAGAAAAACUUUUCCCAAAAAAAUGAAAAAGUCCUUGUCGUAUUGGAGAAUGGAGGUAUCACGGUGACACUUUUUAUUUGUCAGGUACCGAACCCGAGUUGCAGCGGCAGCGCUUGUGGUUUCAACCUCACGUACGGGAGCUCGACGGUGGCGGCGGAUCUGGUUCAAGACAACCUAACUCUGGCCACAGACUCAGUCCCCUCCUACACAUUCGGUUGCAUCAGGAAGGCCACGGGUAGUUCAGUACCGCCUCAGGGGCUAUUGGGGUUGGGCCGAGGCCCAUUAUCACUUUUGGGCCAGAGCCAGAGCUUGUACCAAUCCACAUUCUCCUACUGUCUUCCCAGCUUCAAAUCCGUCAACUUUUCUGGCUCGUUGCGUCUUGGGCCUGUGGCCCAGCCCAUUAGAAUUAAGUACACCCCGCUGCUCCGCAACCCCCGACGGUCCUCGUUGUAUUACGUGAAUUUAAUUUCCAUCAGAGUCGGCCGCAAAAUCGUCGAUAUUCCUCCCUCUGCUCUCGCUUUUAACUCCGCCACCGGCGCCGGCACUGUCAUCGAUUCCGGUAAUUUAAUGUGUUUUGAAAAACAAUAGCCAAAAUUUGAAUGUAUAAAAAUGGUUGUUGAGUUGUUGAGUUGUUGUUGUUGUUCAGGGACGACGUUCACAAGGCUGGUGGCACCGGCGUACACGGCGGUGAGGGACGAAUUCCGGCGAAGAGUGGGGAGAAACGUAACAGUUUCAUCCUUGGGGGGGUUUGACACGUGCUAUACAGUCCCAAUCAUCUCUCCCACCAUAACCUUUAUGUUCGCGGGAAUGAACGUGACUCUUCCACCGGACAACUUCCUGAUACACAGCACGGCGGGAUCAACGACGUGCCUGGCCAUGGCCGCGGCCCCGGAUAACGUGAACUCUGUACUGAACGUGAUUGCUAGCAUGCAGCAGCAAAACCAUCGCAUACUGUUCGACAUACCGAAUUCCCGCGUGGGAGUUGCCCGUGAAUCCUGCUCCUCUUAAUUAAUAUAACACAAGUUGGUGGUGGUGGUUGUUGGUUUUUAGAAAUUAGAAUAAGAAUAUGUGUGUGGUAAAAGUAAAAGUAAAAGUAGUAAUUUUGAAUUAUUGGUGGUUUGGUUUUCAAAAUUUAGUAGUACAUUUGAAUGGAGUAAGAAGGGCGGUAAAGGAGAGAGAGAAGUAUAAAAAAGAAAAUGGUGUCAUUUGGGAUUUGGAAUGUUUUAGGGUUUAUUAUAUUAUUCAAUAUGUCUCUCUCUUGACCUAAAGCAAACGGCUUUUUUUGGUUUUCUAUUCUCCGCCUUGUUUCUGACUUUGUGUGUCGUAACCCUACUUUUACUACUCAACAGAACACUUCUUUUUAUUUUUAUAUUAUAUGAGAAAAGACAGAGUAUACGUACCUGAGCUUUCCACUUAUAUAUAUAUAUCUUCUCUUCUUUUACUACAGUUUUCCAUUUUCCCUUAUUCGAUGCCUAAAUGAAGAAACUAUGAUGUUUCAUUUAUUUAGUUGUACCCUACCAGUUGACUUUUCUCUGUGUUACACAAAAUAAUUAAAAUAAAGAAACAAGUUCCAUUGCACAAACUUUCUCAUUAAACAACCAUCACAUAAGAAAUAUUCAAACCAACUAUGUGUUUAUAUAACUCAACACAAAGUUCCAAAGUAAAGAAACUCAACUGCCUAGUUAUAGAGACGACUAAACUGAAAUACUAUAAGAUCAUGUCGAAAUGUUUAUGGAGAAAAAUAAGUUUGGGGAGAAAGAAUAAAGUUGAGAGAGAGAAAAAUCAAAAGUAAGUUUGAGGGAAAGAAAGUUGAGAGAUAUGGAUGAGUAGUAAUGGAGGAAAAUAUGUGUCCUCCCAUCCAUCCAAUUUCAAUUUACAUAAAUAAAGUUAGAUAACAAAAUUUAACUUUGAAGAGAUGCCUAAGUGAGAAUAUUUAUAUUUUUAAUUAGAAAAUAAUAAUAAUAAUAAAAAAACGAACAAAAAUCAUAGUGAUUGAAAGACAAAAUUGAUACAUGUUAGAGAGAAAUUAAAACAGAAAAAAAAAGUUGAAAAGUAACAUAGUAGAGAGAAAAGUAAUUUUGAGACACUAUAUAUAUAAAUCAUAAAAGAGAGAAAUAUAAUAUAAUAGAAUAUUAUUGUUAAUUAAGAAAGCUAGAAGAGUUUUAGAUGAAGAGAAAGCAAAGUGAGAGUAAUUGAUACAUUAUUUCUUACUCCCCCAUUUUUGGUAAAAAGUUGUAUUAAUUAUAAAAGUUAUGCCAAACUUAUGACUUAAUGCAAAAAGUUUAUAAUUAUCCACAUCACUCGAGAAAACGUUGAUCAUGAAAAAUACUUUUUACACAAAUUAUAAAAGAAAGUAAAAGAAAUAAAAAUAAAACUUAUGUUGUUUUAGUAAAAUUAGUAACCAAAAUAACACAUACUAUGUGUUAAUUGAGCCUUUUCUAAACAGUUUUCUUAUUAUAAUAUUUUGUUAUAUAUCUUAUUUUUCCUUUAAUUAAUUUUCAUUUUGCUAGGAUUCCAUUACAAAACCAUUUUACUUUUGGAUUUCGAGAAUUAGGCUUAUAUACAUUAUUUUAUUUAUAAAUUUGUUUCUUUUGUUAAUCACAUUUUAACAGUAUUUUCAAAAAAUUAAAAUUGAAUUUUUUAUUAAAUUUGUCUCCACGGAUGAACUAAACAUUUUAGGUGGAAAUACCAAUUUGAGAAAGAAAAUAUUGCAUGAGAAUUUAACUAAUUAACCAUUCAAAUAUCUCUGGUUAAAAGCAGAGUGAGAGAAUUUUGGAAGGGAACAUACUUAACUUAAUUUUCUAAAAGAAGAAUAAAAUAAAAUAGGAAACACACAUUAUAUAAAAAGAAAGCAUAAACUAAAUUAAGGAGAGGGGGAUAAUGGGAUUAAAAAGGCAAUCCUAAAAGACCAAAACUAUUCUUUUUUUUUUUUUUUGCAAUUAAAUUGGCAAUAUGGAAGCCACCAAAACAAUAAUAUCUAUUUACUUUAUUUAUUUAUUGAAAAGAAAAGGGUAGGAAUAAAGCGAAAGAUGGGUUUGAAAAGAGAGGAAGAGUAUCCAACGACAAAAGUGGAACCUAUAAGAUCUAAUUUGUAUAAUAAGGGUUAUUUGAUUUUAGUAGUGAAAGAAGAUGAGGGGUUUUAAUUUUGUAGCACAUUGGCUGGCUGGUGGUGGUGUUGGUGUUGAUAGAGAUCAUAUAUGCUACUACUAACUACGCCACUACCAGUUAUAUAUGUUAGUGGUGAUGGUAGUGGUGGUGAUUGUGAAUUAGAGUGGGUGACAACCCCCAAUAUGCCUUUUAAUUUACCCACCACCUUCUUCUUACUCCUUCAUCACUACUUUUUCUUUUUCCUUUUUCUUUUUCUAAAAGAAUAAUUUAAUCUUAUAUGUAUGUGUCUUACAUUACUAUUAACAAGCUGUUUGUAAUUAGCUAGAUUCCCUCAAUCUAAUAUGGAUUUUUUUUUUAAAGAAAAAAAAACAGUAGAAAACAAUACCUUAUUUCUAACUAUAAUUAAGUUUUAAUCUAUCGCUUAAUAAUUUUGAAAUGUUAUUAUGAUGAACAUCAAAUCAGGUCAUUAAAUUUGGCAAGCUUAUGUGAUCCUUUAUCACUACUAUUAAUUUUUCUAAAUGUUUUUUUUUCCCCUUUAAACUUACUAAUUACGAUUGUUAAUGGUUUAGUAAUUAGGGUUAGUUUCAGACAUUUAUCAUUUAUCAUAUAUAUAUGUAAAUUAUAAAUCUAUAUGAUCAUCUAAAUAAUAGUUAAGAUGCAGCAGUUUAUUAAAAAGAAAAUAAAUUAUUGUUAAUAGUAGUAAAAGAAAGGUAAGGGAUGCCAAAGAUUAAAAAUAAGAAGAAGAAGAAGAAGAAGAAAAGAAAAAAAAGAAAGAAAUAAGCUUUUAUGGAAGAUGUCAUAUAUAUGCUGAAUGGAUGUAUGGAGAGUUGGCUUCAUAUCAACGCUAACAUGCAAAGGAAGAAAAGAAAAAGCAUCACACACACACACCAUUUGAAAAAAUAAAUAAAAGAAGUAAAGUUAUGUAAGUUUUAUAUGUUCUAGGGUUAGCAUCAUUAUAAGGAAAUUGACAAAAGGUGAUAUGAAUUGAUUUUCUCAAAUAUUAGGUUUUGGUUGCCCACUAAAUUGAUUAGUAAUUACCCUCCCCUCCAAAUGCUGUGUUAGUGCUUCCAUUCCAUGUCUCUUUCACUUUUCUUUUUUCAAUUCUUUUAUAUUCCAUUCAAAACCCCCCAACACCCCCUCUCUCAUCUCUUUCUUUCUAAAACAAAACCUCUCUUCAUCACAUCAUAUCUAUAUCUAAUUAAUUAACAUAUAUAUCUGCUCUUAAUUCAUACUUCAAAUUAUACUAAACUAAUUACAAGUUUUUUAUACUCUUUAUCUUUUCUCUCCUCCUACUUAAUAUCCUACCUGUAUUACAAUUAAUAAAUAACUCUCUCUCUCUCUCUCUAUAUAUAUAUAUAUUAUUCUUUGAUUUGAUAUCUAAUCUAAACUGAAGUUAUAUAUCUACCUACUACAAUCACUCAAUACUUAUUAUUGCCUAAUGCCUAUUACUAUUGCAUAAAAAAGAGUAUUAUUCUUUUUCUUUUCAUUUUUCAUUGAUCCUCGUAAUAAAAAUACAAUCAAUCCUUGUAUAAAAGAGAAUUAUAUCAACCCCCACAAACUUUUUAAUUCACACAUCCUACUCUACCUACUAACUAUUUUUCUCUCUAUUUAGAAUAUUAUUCAUUUUGCGUGAAGUCAAAAAGCUUGAUCAAAUCUUCCUUCAAAGUAAAUAUGUUAGGCAAAUUUGUAAUUAAUAUAUAAGUUGUAGGUAUUUCUUUUAAUUUCAUUCUUUAUUUUUGUAAACAUAAUGAAUAUAUAGGGUUGAUGACAUCCGAUUGUUUAAUUUGAUGAAGUAGAAUAAAGUUGAAAAAUGAUAAUCCACAUGGUUACAUAAAUUAACCCAGUCUUUAAUAUUUACCCACACAUAAAGCAAAGGAAGAAAAAAGAAAAAAAAAAAAAAAACAUAUAUACGCAUCCCAUAAACUAAAAAGUUAGGAAUUCCUAAACCCAUAACCCAAAAAAUGAAAUCUACCCAUUUCACUCUCUUUCCUCCCUAUCAAUCUUUAAUUCCAUCUCUCUCUCUCUCUCCAGUUGGCCACUACCUAUGGAAUUAUCUCUAUCUCUCUAGAAUGCUAGUGGUUCUUUUUUCUUUUAGGUUGGUGUCACCCACUACCACCCUUCUUCUUAUGUUCAAAAGUCCCUCUGGCCUCAACUUUGAUUAUUGGUAAUGCAGGAAACAAAAGAAGGGUUUCCAAACAAAGAUGUUAGCAGGUAAGUAACAAGACUUAGAACUAAGUUUUUUAUAAAAAGAAAAAAAAAAAAAAAAGAAAGCAAACUUGAAUUUGGGAUUGAUCAUUAGGAUGCUAUAAUCCCUGCUGAUUGAGUGAUUGACUUCCAUCGCCAUGGAGAUCAAACCCACUCCCUCAUCACCACCCACAAUUACCUCACUAACACAAACACAAAUACAAACCUCCCCUUCUCUUUUAUUUAACCACCACCACCAGCUUCCCGACGACAACCCAUCUCCCAAAACAAACCCUGUUUCCAACGGAGGAGGCCGGGGACGCCGGCUAAAACGAGACGAAUGGAGCGAAGGAGCAGUGUCGAUUCUGAUAGAUGCGUACGAAUCAAAAUGGAAACUACGAAACAGAGCAAAAUUGAAAGGGCAUGAUUGGGAAGAUGUGGCUCGCCAUGUGUCUUCAAGAUCUAAUUUAACCAAAUCUUCCAAAACCCAUACCCAGUGUAAGAAUAAAAUUGAGUCUAUGAAAAAAAAGUGCCGUCAAGAACCUGCUGACUCUUCUUGGCCUUUGUAUCACCGUAUUCUGCCUUUGGUUGGAGGAAACACUAAUCUCACCCCAUCUCCACCGCCCUCUCUUCCGCCGCAAAAUUCCCAUGGAUCCAAUGGUGUUGAUAACAUUAAUCCUUCCCCUAAGGUAAAUCAAUUUCUUUCUUCUUUUUUUCUUUGCCUUUUUUAAUCUAUCUAUUAUGGAAAUACUUUUAUUUUUAUGGGUUUUAAUUGAAAAUUGCAUACGUACUCUCAUAUAUAUUUUUGCAGAUAAUAUAUAUAUAUAUAUAACACCAGAAUAAAACCUUUUUCUUCACACGCUAUUACAAUUCAAUUCUUCCCAAUUCCUUCAUACUUAGUGUAGCAUAAUAAGUAUAUUAUUAUAUUAUAAGUUGUUUAGUUUAUUAAACUCUAACAAUUAUCAUUAAUUUAGAUUUCGGUUUCUAAACUAAUUGAAUUAUUCUUAUAAUUACUUUUUAAAUAACAUUAACUAGUUUAUAAAUAAAACACUAAUGGUAGCCGAAUAUAUAUUAGAUGUAAUUAAAAAAAAUGAUGAUCGUAGGAAGAUGGAGUUGAUAAUGGAAGAGGAGUAGAUGAAGUACUAUCAGAGAAAAAUGAGAAUAAUAACAAUAGUAAGAAGAAGAAGAAGAAGAAGAAGAUGGUAAGGGAGAAGAGUACAGAUAGUAGUAGCAGUACUCCAGCUGCAAUAAUAUACAGUAGUAGUGAUGAGAAAGAGAAGGGGGUAGCAGCAAUGAGGCCUAAAUUACAACAAUCAAAAAUGAAGAAGAAAAAGAGGAGGAGAAGCGGCGAGGUGGAUUCAUUGGAGCAGAUAGCGGGUAGCAUACGGUGGUUGGCGGAGGUAGUGGUGCGCUCGGAACAAGCUAGAAUGGAGAUGAUUAAGGAUAUAGAAAAGAUGAGAGCUGAAGCAGAGGCCAAAAGAGGGGAGUUGGAUCUCAAAAGAACACAAAUCAUUGCAAAUACUCAAUUGGAGAUAGCUAAGCUCUUUGCAUCUCCUACCAACAAACCUCUUGUUGAUCAUUCUUCACCACUAAGAAUUGCUAGAACUUAAUUAAAUUCUUUUUGAUUUUAAAUCCCAUAAUAUAUAUAAUGGGGGAUUGGGGCCUGGGGAGGGCAUUAAAUUAUGUUAACUACCUACUACUCUCUCACCCUCUUAUACACUUAAUUAACUUUAGUAAUAUUCUAAUUAUAUUACUACCUAGCCCUCCCCCUUUGUUAUUCAAUGUAAGCUUCCCUCUUUCAUUUCAGCAUGCAUCCUCUAAGAAUGCUGUUUUGUUUAAACUUACUUUCAGAAUAAUUAAUAAUAAAUAUAAAGUUUUUAUAUUAUAUAUUAUUACUUACAAACAUUUUGAUUGCUUCUAUUUUAUUGUUAUAGAUUUUGUUAUUCAUUCUGUUACCAUUACCAACACUCUUUAUUUUUAAUUUCUUCGGUAAAAUUUUCAUAUUGCACUCACACAACAACAUACUUAUCUUAAAAUUUAAAUAACUGGUCUACGUAUUUGAAUUAGUUUGAAUCGAUAAAAUCAACAUAAUUAGAAAUAUGAAUCAACAACAACAACAAUUCUCUCUUAAAAAAAUGCAUCAUCAAUGCUUCUUCAGAAUCCAACAUCAUUGAGUGCACCUUUAGAGUGGUCUAAUUGAACAAAACAAUAAUUUAGUAAAUAAGAGAUUAAUAUUAAUAUUGCUAUCUGAAAAGGAUAUCUAAGGUAUAUAUGCAACCUCUAAUUGGAAGUUUGAUCUUAUAUAUUUUCAUAACUGUUGCAGUCAAUUUUGAAGCAAAACCAAAGAAGAAACUGGGGAUUUGGGCCAUUAAAAAUGGGUUAGGUUUGGUCCAAUUUACAGCCCACUAUAUGUUUAAUCAAUGAUAGAAGGUUGUUGCAAAAAUCAAAAUCAAAAUCAAACAAUGUGAGUGAGGUAGGUGUGGAGAAUGGAGGUUUCUCCAUGUGGGGGAAAUAAUAAAAGUUUUGUUGGUAUGCAAUGAAGAGAAAUCAUGAAGGAUAGAAACUAUAAAGCCAACUUUCUAAAACCUCUACGUAUCUCUUUGCCCUUUUUCUUGACUUUGUAAAAUCUUUUAUAUAUCUUAUUAUUAUAUCAUUUUUCAUGGAUUCCCCCACUUUAAUUUCAAGGAUUGAGUCCACUAAAACCUUUUUUUUUUAAUAAUUAUUAUUAUUAACGUGUGAGAAGUAUAACAUACAAUUAACCUCUUGGUUGUUUUGUACUACAUCUAUAUAUAAUUGUUAUUCAAUUGAAGUAUAUUGGUAUGUAAAAUAUUAUUUUGUACUAAUUAUCUAUUAUUAUUGAAAAGAUAAGGCACACUUGUAAUGUGAACUAUUUUUUAAAUUGCAAUAAAGUUGAAAGGGAAUUAUCACACACCCAAAUGAUCAAAAUCACAUUUUUUUUAUAAAAAAAGUUAUUAUUCCAUGCACAUGGUCCAAUUUUUAGUUUGCUCAAAUUAUUAUCAUAGUCCAUAGGAAUUCAAUAAUCUAUACCAAUUAUAUAUUUAGUUGAAAGUCGAUAUAUCAAUUAUCAUUGGAUUAUUUAUAUAACAGAUAAAUUUUAGGUGACAUCAAACCAAUUUUCAUAUUUCAUAUGAUGUCAUGUGAUUUUUAACAUAAAUAGAUUUUGUUGUCAAACUUACGACUAAGGUUUCAUGUGAUAUGUUUAAGAAUUAGUUGAUAAUAAGAUUUUUUUUAAAAAAAAUUAUUAUAAAUAAUGCUAACUUAGAAGAAUUUAAGCAUUUAAGAAUUGUCCAAGUUUAGUUUUAAUACAAUAGGUAUUAAUAUAUAUGACAUGAAAUAUUGCUAUGAAAAUGACUCAACCAUGGCUAAAUAUCUAAAUUAAGAAGAAUUCAAAUAAAUCAAGGAUAACACGUACAAUUAAAAAUAAUUAAAUAGUUGAAUAUGUAAAGUUAAGUGUAAUAUAGAGAAAUAAAAGAUUAUUAGAAGUCUAAAUCCCCCUUUGUUGUACUAUAUGUAUGUGUAUAUUAUGUCUGUGAACAAUAUGGAGAAUCUUCUAGAUCUUCUUUAUUUGUUAUAUAAAAUCAAGAAUACAAUGAUACAUAUACAGUUAAUUUGGACAACCUAUAAGGAAAGGAUCAAAUUAAUCUAAUUACAAUAAUGUAUUCCUAAAUUACAGCUAAAUUACUUUAACUACGGUGAUACCCUCCCUCAAACUCAAGUUGGUAGAGUAGAAACCACCUUGAGUUUGUGAAGUAACAGAGUGAAACGAGGAGAAUGGAGAGCUUUGGUGAAGAUAUCUGCAGGUUGAUCAAUGGUAGAGAUAGAUUGAAGAUGGAGAGUGUUGCUUUGAAGAUGAUGACGGACAAAAUGACAAUCGUUCUCUAUGUGCUUUGUUCGUUCAUGAAAUACAUCAUUGUGUGCAAUCUGAAUGGCACUGCGGUUAUCACAAUGGAGAGUAGUAGAUGAUGUUUGUGGGGCUCCCAUAUCAGUAAGAAGCCAACGAAGCCAUAAUAAUUCUGAAGUGGCAUCAGCUAGAGCACGAUAUUCAGACUCAGUGCUAGACCGGGAAACAACAGAUUGUUUCUUGCUGCGCCAGGAGAUAAGAGCAUCACCUAAAUAAAAACAAUAGCCAGUGGUGGAUCUUCUAUCAGUAGGAUCUCCUGCCCAAUCAGCAUCAGAGAAUCCAGAGAGAACCAGAGAAGACUGUGAGGAGAAGUGGAGACCAUGACCCAAAGUGCCUUUAAUGUAGCGAAGAAUCCGAAGGACAGCAGUGAAAUGAAUAGUACGGGGAGCGGCCAUGAAUUGACUGACUAUGUGAACUGCGAACGCAAUAUCAGGGCGAGUUACAGUUAAGUAAAUCAAGCUACCAACAAGUUGCCGGUACAAAGUAGGAUCGUCAAGGGGAACACCAUCAUAAGGAGUAAGUCGAACAUUUGGAUCCAGAGGUGUUGAGGAUGUUGUAGAAUCAGUAAUACCAGAUCGACUGAGUAGGUCAGAAGCAUAUUUAGCUUGAGAUAAGUAAUAACCAUCAGAUACGGAGGUGAUCUCAAGGCCAAGGAAAUAACUGAGAGGUCCUAAAUCCUUCAUUUCAAAGUGCUUUCCCAGGUAGCAUUGCAAUUCAGAUAUAGCUUGAGGGUCAUCGCCUGUAAUAAUCAUGUCAUCAACAUAUAAAAGAAGGAGUACAAUACCAUUAGGUGUCUGGCGGGUGAACAAGGCUGAAUCAUGAGGGCUGGAAGUGAACCCAAGUUGAGUAAUAGUGGAGCUAAAAGUUGCAAACCAGGCUCGGGGAGCCUGUUUGAGACCAUAGAGAGCUCGUCGAAGAAGACAUACUUUCUGAUGUGGCGGGGUAGUACCAGGUGGUGGUUUCAUAUAGACUUCUUCAGAUAGAGUUCCAUUGAGAAAUGCAUUUUUAACAUCCAUUUGUAAGAGGGGCCACUGUUUUGCAGCUGCAAUGGCUAAAAGACUACGAACAGACGUCAUUCGAGCUACUGGAGCAAACGUUUCUUCAUAAUCAAUGCCAUAUUCUUGAGAAUAACCUUUGGCUACAAGUCGUGCUUUGUAUCGUUCUAUAGACCCAUCAGAGUGCGUUUUGAUUUUGAAGAUCCAUUUACAACCAAUAGGUUUCUUUCCAGGAGGUAAGUCCACAUAUUCCCAAGUAUGAGUCUUUUCUAAGGCUUGAAGUUCUUCAUUCAUUGCUUGCUGCCAUAAUGGGUUAGUGCUGGCUUCCUUAUACGAGGAAGGUUCAACUAAAGACAUGAUGGUGGAGAAACAAUGAUAAUCUUUAAGAUGAGAGGGAAUUUCUCUUACCCGUGUAGAUCGUCGGAUUGGUGUAGAUUCAGGUUCCUCAAGAGGGGCAGAUGGAAGAUCCGGGAGUGCAGAAAUAUGGUCCGAUUGAGUGGGCUCAGGUAUAGGUAACAUGCAAGGUGUAGUGUCAGGUGUUGAGUCAAGUGAGGGAAAAAGGUCAAUAGACGGAUCGGUGAAGAAUGGGUGAGAACUUGAAAGAGAUUCAUGGAAUGAAGAAAGACUAGAAAACAUACGAUGUUCCCAAAAGGUGACAUGACGAGAUAUACGUAAUCGUUGAGAGAUUGGGUCCCAACAACGAAAUCCUUUAUGUUCAGUACCAUAACCCAAGAAGCAACAUAGACGUGCACGUGGUUCAAGUUUGGUAUGUUCAUGAGGAUAUAAUAAUACGAAACAUGCACAACCAAAAAUUUUUAGAUUGGAGUAAGAAGGGGAAGUACCGUAUAGUCUUUCAAAGGGAGAAACAUUUUUAGUGACUUUUGAAGGAAGACGAUUGAUGACAUAGACAGAGGUGAGGGCAGCCUCGCCCCAGAAUUUUUCUGGACAAGCAGCAGAUAGAAGCUGAGCACGAACAGAGUCAAGAAUGUGACGAUGUUUGCGUUCAGCUCUUCCAUUUUGCUGAGAGGUGUGAGGACAGGAGCGUUGAAUCAGAGUGCCUUGCUGGGCAAGGAAGGAAAGAAGUUGAGAGUCCUUAUAUUCCAUCGCAUUAUCAGUUCGAAAGAUUUUAAUUUUGCUGGAGAAUUGUGUGUGAAUCAUAUUUGCAAAAUCAACAUAUAUUUGAUAUAAGGAAGAGCGAUGUUUAAGAAAGUAAAUCCAAGUAAAACGAGAAUAGUCAUCAAUAAAUAAGACAAAGUAUCGAUAACCAUUAACGGUAGUACAAGGAGCAGGACCCCAAAUGUCAGAAUGAAUAAGGUCAAAAGGCUUAUUACAUAGAGAGGUGGAAUUAGGAAAUGAUAAAGCAGGUUGUUUUGCAAGUUUGCAAUUUAAGCAAUCAAAAUGACUGAAUUUUGAGACAUUAUUCAAAUUACCAGUAGAAACUAAAUUACGAAGUUUAUCAGAGGAUGCAUGACCUAGACGAAGGUGCCACUGAUAUAUAGUGGUAUCAGUGACUGGUGCAGAGAUAGGUGGAAACUCAGGAGAUUGCUGAAGAUAUGUAAGCUCAAAUAAUCGUCCCACCUUCCGUCCCGUACCAAUCACUUGCCCCGUUUGAGAAUCCUGAACCUGACACCCAUGAGAAGAAAAGAUAACAGUUAGUCCGAGAUCACAAAGUUGGCCAACAGAAGCUAGGUUGAAUGUGAGUUUUGGAACAUGAUAGGUGUUUGACAGUUUUAUGGUGGGUGUGUUAACAGUACCAACGUGAGAGAUAGGCAUAUGAUUACCAUCAGCAGAGUGAAUUGAGGGAAGAGAUUGAACAUGAGUAGGUGAGGAUAAUAAUGAAAUGUCAGCAGUCAUAUGAUUGCAACAAGCUGAAUCAAGGAGCCAAGAUGUACCUGGAGUGACGGCAAGAGCAGUAGAGUUGGAAGAGAUCACCUGUUUCAGUAAGUCAUGAAGAUCAUUUAACUGAAAAUUCUGAGGUGUGGUGAUAUCAGAUGAGGUAGCAGCAGCAACAAUAGGUGGAGAACUGUAUUUAGUGGAGGACUUGGGUUUAUAUGGAGCACCAGGAGGGCGGGGUGGGCGGGUGGGACAGUUGUCCAAGAUAUGACCUCGUUUGUGGCAAUACCUGCACUCAAUAGUAGGACAAUUAGCAAACUUAUGACCAUGAAGUUUGCAAUUUUUGCAGAAAAUAGACUCAUUAGCCGAUCGUGAAUGGGUGGUUGCAAGAGCGACAUCAGAUGGCAGAGAGGAAACAAUGCCAAGGCGGUUUUCCUCAAAUAAGAUUUCUUGUAUGGCAGCAUCAAGACUCGGCAGAGGGUUACGAUGUAACAAUGCGGCACGGACUGAUUCAUACUCUGGGCGAAGACCCAUAAGAACUUUGAUGAGGCGAAUAUGCUCCGGAUUGAUUUUUGCCUGAUCUAACUGAGUCCAUAUUGGUUGAAGAGUUGCAAGAUACUCGUUCACAGAUUGUCCUCCCUCCUGAUUUAGACUAACAAGUCGAGAGUGCAAUUGGUAAUAGUGAGCAAGUCCAAUAGACUGAAAACGUGUGGACAGAAAAUCCCAGAGUUCUUUUGCCGUAUCAAAUGCAUCAAAUUGUGUGUGAAUGGCUGGAAUAGAGGUGUUACCUAACCAAGUAAUGAUCUGAUGGUUUUUGCUAUCCCAAUCCUCAAGACGUUCAAUGUAUUUGUCGGUUUCUGCAGUCGUCUCUUGAACAGUGACAUCAGAUGGGUCUGUAUCAAUAUUUUCAGUGGUGUCCAUCGGAGGAGUAGGUUUGACUGGUUUAGUGAUUAUCUCCAGUAACGAUGCGCCACAGUUUUCGACCUAUCAAAAAACUCCUCAUUUGGUGGGCCCAAGUGAUAUAAUUAGUUCCAUCGAGAAUGGUGCUAAUGGGACGAGCAACUUCAUGUUUCUCCAUCUAAAUAUAAUUAGCUGCUGUAGAUUCACAGAGUAUUUGCGGCUGGGAUUCGAGGCUAAAGUUCGUGGCUAGGAUUUCACUGGAAUUGCAGUUGGGAUUCGAGGCAGGAGGUUGCUGGAGUUCGGGCGCGGUUGUUUCUUCACGGCAGGAGGUCGCCAGCAGAGGUCUUCAAGGCAGGAGGGUGCUUGCGACGGCGGCGAGUAUACAGUUCACAGAAUAUUGGCAGGAGGUUGCUGGAGUUCGCGGCGCGGUUGUUUCUUCACGGCAGGAGGUCGUCAGCAGGUGAGUUACUUCACGGUGAGAUGUUGUCUUCACGGCAGGACUUCACGGCAAGGCGUUCGCGGAAGUGUCUUCACGGCAGGGCUUCACGGCAGGGCUUCACGGCAAGGACCGAGGGAAGGUCUUGCGUCUGGCGUUCGUGGAAGAAGGCUGCGGCAGGAAGAUUGACUGAAGGGAGAUCUGGCGUUCGCGGAAGCGUCUUCACGGCAGGACUUCACGGCAGAGUUUUUCCGGCGGCGGCGGCUACAGUAAGUCUAGGGUUUUGGCUCUGAUACCAUGUGAACAAUAUGGAGAAUCUUCUAGAUCUUCUUUAUUUGUUAUAUAAAAUCAAGAAUACAAUGAUACAUAUACAGUUAAUUUGGACAACCUAUAAGGAAAGGAUCAAAUUAAUCUAAUUACAAUAAUGUAUUCCUAAAUUACAGCUAAAUUACUUUAAUUACGGUGAUAAUGUCCAUCAACUAAUAACUUGAGUGAUUGUUACUCUUCGUAUAUAUACUAUUUUGAUGGUACAUUUUCAAAUUUUCUUAAUUUUAGUUAAUGAGUAUUCGUGUUUAACAUGAUUUGGUCUUCAUUUUUUCUGUGAUAAUGUGGUAAUAUAAUUGAUGUGCAUUUAUUCUAUUAAAGUUAAAAGAUUCAAUCUCUCAUUCUCACCUAUUAAAAAAAAUACAUAUAGAAACAAAAUGGUAGCUAUAACUUUAAAUGCAUGUAAAAAGGACUAAAAAGAACCUCUAAAAACAAGACUAAGAAUGAACAAAACUAAGAGAAGAAGAGAGAUAAGUAGUUGAUAAACACAACUGUUUGGCUUCUUCUUCUUUUUUUUUUUAAAUAGAAGUUUAGCCAAUGGCAACAACAAAAAUAAAAAGAAACACUAAGGAAAAUAAAAUCUAAAAAAAAAAAAAAAACCUAAGCGAUUAAGAUAUUUGGAAGAGAACAAAAGUUAGAGCACUAGAAGAAAAGAAAAUCGAUUUUAAAAAAUUGAGAGAUGCACUAGAAAAUUGGGAGUGAAAUUUAAUCAAUUUAUAAAAGAGAGAAUUUAAUUUCAAAUUUGAAUUUGAUUUGAGCUAUAGUAGAAGUGACAUGUUGAUCAAUUUCCAUAUCUUUAUUUUAUAAAAAAAAAAAAAAAAAAAAAAACCACCCAACUCAACUGAAACAUUAAACUAAUUUUCAUUAUAUAAUUGGAUCUUAAUCCUAAAUUAAUAUUUUUUUAGCAAAUUGGAAACAGAAAAAAAAAAAGAAAAAGAAACUUAACAAAUGACCUCACCUGUAGAUAUAUAUAGAAAUGUUAAAUCCAUCAAGUCAUGAAUUAAAUUUAAUAGUUUAAUAGCAUAUCAAAAGAUAGGGACAUAUAGAUACUUUAUUGGGAAUAAAUUUAUAAAAUAUUUGAAAAGAAUUAAAAGAAGGGAAAAGAAUAUUGUUGUUGGAAAGAAUAAUUUAGGGUUAAAAGAAUAAUAUUGUUGUUGAAUGAGAAAGGAAGGUUGCAUGGUUGUUAAUAUGGUGAAUAGGAAGCAUGAGGUGAUAAACGAAGUGGAAUAUGUGAAUGAAUGAAAUGCUAUUUUUUAUGACUAAGUUUGAAUUCGCCAUAUAUACCCGAAGGGAAUUAGGCGAAGAAUUAAUGUAGACGCAGAGGUGAUCUUGUUGCUAACAAAUGCAUGGGAGAGAGAGAAGCGUGUUGUUGGCAUCUGGUUCCAAAAUAGUUUCCCCUCCGCCCUCCGCCCUCCGCCUUCUCACAUCCACAUGUAUAUAUAAGAAAGAAAGAAAGAAAGAAAGAAAGAAAGAAAGAAAGAUGGAUACUGUGAUUUGUGUAAAAGGAGGUGAAGGGCUGUUGGGGGUGAAGGGUGAAGGGGAUAACCAACCGACAGAGACAGAGGGAGGGUCAAUAAAAUUGUGCCCACAAACCCAAAGACAAAGACAAACACAAAGAGACAACCCGCUAUACACACCUCUUUCUUUAUACACACCUCUUUCUUUCCGCCAACCUACUUUUUUCCACACCCCUUCCUCCCUUCCUACACCUUACACGCACCCCCCCAACCAUUUCCAUAUUUUACUGCCAAUCCAUUUUUUAUCACCUUUACCUUCACUCUCUCCCUCCUCUAUUUAAACUUUCCAUUUUAUAUCUUCAAUCUUUAACAUCUCUACAAUAACUUACUUUUUUAAUAUUUCAAUUUCUUCUCUCUCUACUACCUAAUCUUUCUUAUUAUUAUUCCUUUUUUAACACAAAUAAUAAAAUAUCAUUCACCCACUUUUUUUUCUUUUCUAAUACAUCAGUACAUAUCAAAUUUUAGUACAUUAUAUUCAUCCCUAUUCCAUUACAUACAUGAUUGGACUAAUGAACACCACAUUGAAACUACAAAACCUCUUACGUUCAAUGAUAAUUUUUAUACAACUUGUUUGUUCUUUUAUAAGUAUAUGCAACAUUUUUUUUCUCUUUUAUCUCUAGUCUAUUGUUUGUUGCUUCUUUUAUAAUUAAAAAAAUAUUUCACUACUCAUUUGUUAAUAUUUUAAAUUAAUGUAACCCAAAUAUUGAAUAAAUGUGUUUGCAAUUAGAAGAUAGGUAGUUUGAAUAAGGAAUUCCCUCGUCAUCAAUGUGUUUGCUUAACCCUCGUCUUCGUUCAUUGUAUUAACAAAGACAAAAACAUUUUGAGUACUCAUUCCUUCAAAGUUUUUAGUACAAUAACAUUUUAGGUACUCAUUCAUUGAAAGUUUUAAAUUGAAAAUAUAAAAUUGUUGGAUUGUAAUUUUUAUUUGCCAUGCAGACAUGAAAUACUCAUUUAUAUAUUUAAAAAAUUGAGGAAAAAAAAAACUUUUUUAAAGAAAUGAGAAAGAAAAAAACCAAAAUUGGAAGAAUAUUUGAAAAUUUUAUAAAAAACAAUUUUUUUUAAUAAAAACAAAAGCCCAAAAAAUCAAAUGGAGCACUUAAGUUUAGAUCGAAAAAAGAAAGAGAAUUAGGCAUAAGCAGAAAAAUGAUAAACAUCGCCAUUAUCAAACCAACUAGAAACAAUUAAUAAUAAAGUGCACUAUAAUUUUUCUACACAUUUCUUUCAAUCAUUCAUUUUUUCUACCUCCAAUUUAGUAAAAAAUCUCUCUUAAUUUAGCCUAUGGAAAAAGGAAAAAGGAAAAAAAAAAAAAAAAAAAAACAACAACACAAGCCGCCGGUUGCCGGAAGGCACAAUGUUGGUCGAAUUCCGUGUCAUAUAGCGAUGUUACCGACGGAUACAUCUGAAGGGGAAAAGGCGAGGAGAAGAAGCGCCGCCAUGAUCCCAACUGGGAAGAAAAGAAGCACAAGUGGGGGCGGAGGCAGGGGUGGAAGAACCAACGGCAGAACGACCAUGGAAACCGCAACGGCGGCGAGGAGGAGAACGGACACUAAGUUGAAGCAACGUACCAUAGCAACUUUCCAGCAGGCGGAGAUUUGAUCAUGUCCUUGAGCGGCGGCAAUGCGUGGGAAAAGAAAUCCGGUGAGGCGGCGUGGAUUUUGGAAUUUGGAUGGGGAGGUUCGGAGGCGGAAGAAUUAGGGGUGGGAGUUUAUAUAGCUUCACGCCCCUCUGCUUUAUUAAAAAGAACAAAAUUACCUUUUCACCCCCUCCCUCUUUUUUCUUUUCAAAUUUAAAUUUCAUUUUGGUAAUUCUGUAAAUUUAAAAAUGAGUUAGUCCUUAGGUGAAGUAAGAGAUUGGAAAUUGGAAAUUUAGUGGUUAUUAAUAUUAAAAAUAUAAUAGAGGUAAUAUAUAAAGAUGGUAUACAAAAUGAAUAUUAAAGAAUGAGAAGUAUGAAAGGGGUCAAAUGCUAUUUUAACGAAAAGAAAUUAAAUUAAAGAAAUGGAAAAAGGGGUUUUAGUUUUACGGGGGUCAGCGCGUGCAUGCAUCUACUCACCCGUUUUUGUAUGACGAUUAAAUGAAUCACCACCGUUUGAUUUUCUUCCAUCUGGGACCCACCACAUUUCUGUCUCUUUUCUCCUUUUCCUAUUAAUUGGAUUUUUCAUCUAUUUUUGGCAUUAUUAUUUUUUUAUUUUCCUUUUACCAAAACUAUGUUUUAGGUUUCAAUCCUAUGAACAAACAAUGUACAUUUUCUACUUUUCAAUCCC